rnacentral:lncRNA from 1 species
AAAAAUUGAAACCUCAAACCUUGAAUUUCAAAAACCCAGAAAUCAUUUCUUUUCCCCCACGAUCUGUUGAAAAUUGAUUAAAAAAAAAAGAGUUAGAAAAGUCAAAAUGGAACACAUCACUUGAAUUCAAAUUGGAGGUGGCCGAGAACUUUGACAAGCAAUUAGAAGUGGCCAAAACUAUUGAAAUGGUGGCUAUUGAAUGUUGAAAAAUUGACUUGAUUUUAGGCAAAAUUUUGCCUAUAAAAGGAAGCUCACAUUUGAGAGCUUGGCAUCCCAAAUCCCAGAGAAGCAAUCCAAGUUUUGGUGAGAAAUUGAGAGAAAGAAAUGUUCUUAAGCAUGUAGUUAUGUUGUAUGAGUAUUUGACUCCUCAAUAUGGGUAUUACGGAUUUGCUUUGUUAAAGGAUAUUUCUCAAGAUUAUGUAUUUGAGGAUUGGGUGAGAGAAAAUUAUUUCUCAAAGUGUGGUUGUAAUAAUUUUUCACAUAGUGAAUAUUUUUUCUCUGGUUGUCUUUUGACAACGGCUGUGGUUUUUCUCCGGAUUUAGAAUUUUCCACGUAAAUAUUGUGUUGUGUGAUUGGUGUAUUCUCCAUUUAAUUUUUUCUUUUAAUUUGUUGCUUGACAAAUUGUUUAGAGUGAUCUUGUGAGGAAGCUCAAUUUCCUAAUAGUGGUAUGAGAGCCAUUGAUUGAAGUUUUGGUGUCAGGGUACUGUUCACGUAUAUGAUACUAUUCACGUAUAUGGUACUGUUCAUAUGUACAGUACUAUUUACGUGAAGCUAUGUACAAUACUAUUUACGUGAAGCUGUGGAGCCAAUCCAAAUAGUCCGUGGUGAAGAGUAUAGGGUCAUCUGUAAAGCAAAUAUGUCAACAACUGGUGUUUUUUAAACUUGGUGGAGUUUGAUGUUGUUGAAAAAUUAAUGGGAGAAUGAUUUUUUGUUAGCUUGUGGAGAAUUCAAGUCAAAGGCAUGUCCAAUCUAAUAUGCACAAGGAUUUGAUGGUGUGGACAAUUUUGGCACCUCAAGGAAAUUGUCAAGAAGGUGGAGCGGGUUUGGCAAAUUGCUCCCGAAUCAGUAAAGGAAAUACUGAUAUUCUCGCAAACGAUGAGUUUCUUUUUAUAAGAAACUAGUUUAGUUCUUUUGGCAUGUAGAUCUCCAAGUUGUCAUGAAAGAGAACAUGUUAUUAUCAGCGGGGUCCACAAGUUUGCACGCGAUCAUUGGUUUGGUGUAAAUGCAAGGUGUGUGGUGGAAAAGUUAUGUCAUGGCUGAAGAAUUCUUAGGGAAACCAAGCAUGAGAAUUGCACCAUAAUUUUCAGCGGAUAUGUUCGACAUGUGCCGAGAAAAACCUUAGAGUGGUUGAUUCUAAGUGGUAUGCUCUUUAUGGUGGAGUAUAAUAAUUCUCUAUGUUGUGGAGUAUCAUAAUUCUCAACUUUGGUGAAGAUAGUGUUUUGUAGUAGUGGCUAUGAAUUUUUUUUUUCUUUAAUUAAGGUGGAGAUUGUUGAAAAUUAAUUAUAAAAAAAGAGUUGAAAAGUCAAAUUGGAACACAUCAUUUGAAUUCAAAUUGGAGGUGGCCGAGAAAUUUGACAAGCAAUUGGAAGUGGCCAAAACUAUUGAAAUGGUGGCUAUUGAAUGUUGAAAAAUUGGCUUGAUUUUAGGCAAAAUUUUGCCUAUAAAAGGAAGCUCUCAUUUGAGAGCUUGGCAUCCCAAAUUCUAGAGAAGUGAUCCAAGUUUUGGUGAGAAAUUGAGAGAGAGAAAUAUUUUUAAGCAUGUAGUUAUAUUGUAUGAGUAUUUGACUCCUCACUAUAGGUAUUACGGAUUUGCUUUGUUAAAAGAUAUUUCUCAAGAUUAUGUAUUUGGGGAUUGGGUGAGAGAAAAUUAUUUCUCAGAGUGUGGUUGUAAUAAUUUUCCAUAUAGUGAAUAUUUUUUCUCUGGUUGUCUUUUGUCAACGGCCGUGGUUUUUUUUUCUGGAUUUAGAGUUUUUCACGUAAAUCUUGUGUUGUGUGAUUAGUGUAUUCUCCAUUUAAUUUUUUCUUUUAAUUUGUUACUUAACAAAUUGCUUGAAGUGAUCUUGGGAGAAAACUCAAUUUCCUAACACGAACAUCCACAAAGCUUCACACAAAUUGAUAUCAAAAUAAAAUAAUUAACUUUCUUGCAAUCACAACUAUGAUUCCCUAUAGGCCAGUGCUACGUUACGUUAAUCGUAACGUACGCCACACACAGCAACAGUAACGGGUCUCACUAUAGGAACUGUUGCUGUGUGGAUGUACGUUACGAUUAACAUAACGUAGUGGGAUCCUUCCCUAUAAUUACAAUUUCAAGUCUCUAAUUCAAGAGCCAAAUUUUACCCAUUUCAGCAAAGAUCAGAACUAUUGCUCUACACAUUCAAUCAGCAAACAUAUCAAAAACACUACUCACAUAGCAAUAUAUAUCAACAACGAUUCAGGCUCAAAAUCAAACCAAAAAAAAAAAAAAAUAGAGCCUUGGAAAUGGGUACCUUGCUUUUUGAGCUAAAACUCAAGUCUUUGUGGUUACUGGGAAAAAAAAUUGAAAAUAAACGAAGCCAGAUCAGUAAUCCACUAAAUUGAAGAACCCAGAAACAAAUUUGUAAAUUUCAAAAGAUCAUGACCUCAAUCAAAUCCUCAGUUCUUUUGGCCGCUGCGGCGUACCUUAGAGUGAAGACAACUGACAUAUAACAAGCACUUUAGAAUGUAAACCGCUACCAGACUACCGGUUGCUUGUGACGUUAUUUUUAUUUUAUAAUUUUCAACAAUUAAGAGGCUUUAUCUUUUUUAUUUUAUUUAUUUUUAUAUUCAUUUUAGGCCACUAAGUUGCAUUAUCUGAAACUUGCUGAAAAUAGAUCCUGUCUUUUAUUAUUUUAUUUAUUUUUUUAGGUAAAUUUUGGUCUCGUUGUAUAUUAGAGUAAAAUUUGUGUGGCGAUGUGGUCGGCCGUCGGCGUCGGCCUACUCAUCAGGGACCGUUAUUUGGUAAGUUCAUUAAUUUUUUGAAAAUACCAAGUGUCUAGAAGCGAGAGAUGACACAUGGUAAUGUCGUUUCUCUCCCCAUUAGCUCGUGCCCUUCUAGAUAAAAAAAAUUAAAAAAUUAUAAAAUUAUAAAAAAAUAACAAUAAUAUUUUUUUUGAUAUUAAUCACGAGGUAUUCUGGGGAGGGCCCCAACUGUGGGAGGCACCUUUAAGCCUGUACCACAACCCAGAUUAGAAGUCCCCGCUCGAACCGGGAGGCACAGGUUCUCCCAACAAAGGUGACUUCCCUGCGACUCGAACUGGGGAGCAAACCCAGUCAAGCCACUUAAGGGGACUCCAUUGCCAGUGGAGCCAACACUUUGUUGAUAAAAAUAACAAUAAUAUAAUCAAGAGAAAACUACCUCAGAUCUUAAUAAUCUCUUUAAUUACUAAUUUUUCCCUCUAUCGUAGUAUUUAUUUGUACAAGGCAAGAAAAUUUUCUCAAAGAGAAACACAUUUGUUCCUUAUUACCACUUCCGAAGAAGAAAAUAAGCUCAUGUCUGUCAAAAUUGGCUACAUCUAGAAGUGUUGAAUAAACAAGAAUGGUUGGCAUGGCUGCAUCUAGAAGCUUUGACAAGAAUGGUUGGCACAUGGCUUUGAAAAUUGAACAUGGUUUUCACCCACCAAGCUUUGAUGAACACGGUUUUGAAGAAGAUUUUGAUACCCACGGCUUUGACUUUCUUGGCCAUCAUUUUGCUAUAAAUACAAGUGCAAAUGAAGAGCUUAUUCAUUCCAUUUUAGAGAGCAAUUUAGGGAGUUGAGAGAGAGUUUAAGAGCUUGCAUUUAUAAGCUCUUAUUACAGUGAUUGAGAGAGUUUGGGUGUAUUGGGGUUUUGGGUAGUGAGCUAAAAUACUACAAUACUUGUAACUCCUUUUCACUAGUAAAAUAUUUCCUUCUGUUUUCGCCCGUGGACGUAGGCUAAAAGCCGAACCACGUAAUUUCUGGUGUUCUCUAUUGUGCUUGUUCUUUAUUUUCUUAUAAUUUCACUUUAGCUGCGUGUCUGCUUCGCCUACCAAUUUCCUAACAGUGGUAUCAGAGCUAUUGGUUGUAUGUUUGGAGUCGGGUACUAUUCACGUAAGGGCACUAUUCACAUAUACGGUACUGUUCACGUACACGGUACUAUUCACGUGAAACGGUGGGAGCGAUCCAAGAAUUUUGCGGUGCAAAGCAGGGAAUAGUGGUGUGAGUAAAACAACUGUGUGGUUUUGUACAUGUCUAGGAAAGUUCUGUCACAAAGGCGAUAAGAGCUUAAGGAGUCUGGGUUUUAAGUGGGACCAUUGUGACCCCUCCAGUCUUUCCUGGGAACUUUCCUGGUGUGCAUUCUCACACAUACUCACAACUAUUCAAGGUGGUAUACUUGCUUGUGUGCAGUAUUUAUCAACAAAAUGGCGGCAAAGUAUGAAAUUGAGAAAUUUAACGGAAAUAAUUUUUCGUUGUGGAAAAUGAAGAUGAAAGCUGUAUUGAGGAAAAAUAAUUGCUUAGCAGCAAUUGGAGAAAGGCCCAUGGAGAUAACUGAUGACAAGUGGAACGAGGUAGACGGCAACGCCAUUUCUGAUCUACACUUGGCACUUGCAGAUGGAGUAUUAUCUAGUGUGGCAGAGAAAAACACAGCGAAGGAAAUAUGGGAUACUCUCACAAAAUUGUACGAGGCCAAGUCACUACACAACAAAAUCUUCUUGAAGAGAAAACUCUAUACUCUUCGAAUGGCGGAAUCUACAAUGGUGACCAACCACAUCAACACCUUGAAGACUCUAUUUUCACAACUCACAACGUUGGGUCAUAAUAUAGAGGAAAAUGAACGUGCAGAGCUUCUACUUCAAAGUCUACCAGAUUCGUAUGAUCAACUCAUCAUCAACCUGACGAACAACAAUCCAGUGGACAGUCUAGUUUUCGACGAUGUUGCAGCCUCCGUAUUAAAUGAGGAGAGCAUGCGGAAAAAUAAAGAAAACAGACAAGCAAGUUUGCAGCAAGCGGAGGCGCUAUCGGUGACGAGAGGGAGAUCAACAGAAUGUGGCCCCAGUAGGAGUCAAAGUCAUGGUAGAUCAAAAUCCAGAAGUAAGAAGAAUGUUAAAUGCUACAACUGUGGCAAGAAAUGGCACGUUAAGAAAGAGUGUUGGAGUAACCAAAAGAGAAAAGAGGGCAAAGAACCUGAGUCAUCAAAUGCUCAGGGUUGUGUAGCAAGUACCUCAGAUGAUGGCGAAAUUCUUUACAGCGAGGCAACAACUGUUUCAGAAGGCAGAAAACGGCUGUCUGAUGUCUGGCUGAUAGACUCAGGAGCUACCUGGCACAUGACCUCUAGGAGAGAAUGGUUCCACACAUAUAAACCUAUCUCAGGAGGAUCUGUGUAUAUGGGAGAUGAUCAUGCCUUGGAGAUCGCUGGUAUUGGUACUAUCAAAAUAAAAAUGUUUGAUGGUACAAUUCGCACAAUUGGGGAGGUACGACAUGUCAACGGCCUAAAGAAAAAUCUAUUGUCUUUGGGACAAAUGGAUAGUCAUGGGUACAAAACUCAUGUGGAGAAUGGAAUUAUGAAGAUCGUUAAAGGAGCGCUUGUAUUGAUGAAGGCAGAAAAGAUCGGUGCUAAUCUAUUCAUGCUUAAAAGAGAAACACUACAGGAGGCUGAUGCGUGUGUCGCAUCAAAUGGAGAAGAGUUAACGAUGAUGUGGCAUCUCAAACUUGGCCACAUGUCGGAACAAGGUUUGAAGAUUCUCUCUGAGAGAAAAUUACUUUCGGGGCUCAAAUCGGUAAGUUUACCAUUUUGCGAGCAUUGUGUUACAAGUAAGCAGCAUAGAUUAAAAUUCAGUAGAUCUAUUGCUAGAAGUAAAUGCAUUCUAGACUUGAUUCAUUCUGAUGUUUGGGAAUCACCGGAUAUAUCCAUGGGAGGUGCAAAGUACAUGGUGACUUUCAUUGAUGAUUAUUCCAGAAGAUGUUGGGUGUAUCCAAUUAAGAAAAAGUCAGAUGUAUUUCCUGUGUUUAAAGAAUACAAAGCGCGGGUGGAACUUGAAUCUGGUAAAAAGAUCAAGUGCUUGAGGACAGAUAAUGGUGGAGAGUAUACAGACGGCGAGUUUCUUGCUUUCUGUAAGCAAGAAGGUAUUCAGAGGCAGUUCACAGUGGCAUACACUCCUCAACAAAACGGAGUGGCGGAGCGGAUGAACAGAACUCUUACAGAAAGAAUAAGAGCUAUGUUGAAGACUGCUGGUCUACCCAAUUCAUUCUGGGCAGAAGCAGCCAAAACUGCAUGUUAUAUAGUAAAUCAGUCGCCAUCUACAGCAAUUGGGUUGAAGACGGCGAUGGAGAUGUGGACUGGAAAGCCAGCUGAUUAUUCCUACCUACAUGCAUUUGGAUGUCCUGUGUACGUGAUGUACAAUGCCCAAGAAAGAACAAAGUUAGAUCCAAAAUCUAGAAGAUGUAUCUUCUUGGGAUAUGCUGAUGGAGUAAAGGGGUAUCGUCUGUGGGACCCCACUGCCCACAAGAUCGUCAUCAGCAGAGAUGUUAUCUUUAUAGAAGAUCAACUGCAAAGGAGAGAUGAGGAUGAUGGCACUACAAAAGAAAAGUCAGAGAUCAUGCCAGUAUAUGUGGAAAAUAAUAUAGAAGAUUCAGAUUCUUCUGAAGCAGCACCAGAGAACGAGGAACAAGAACCAGUCGAGUCCGAGACUCCAGAAGUUCGCCGGUCAACUCGUGAGAGACGACCGCCGGUGUGGCACUCGGAGUAUGUCACAGAGAUCAACGUUGCAUAUUGUCUUCUAACGGAGGAUGGAGAACCAUCAACUUUCCAUGAAGCUUUAGAAAGCUCAGAUAUUGCUUUGUGGAUGACAGCAAUACAGGAAGAAAUUGAAGCUCUACACAAGAACAAGACAUGGGAACUUGUACCACUACCACGUGGAAGAAAAGCCAUUGGAAACAAAUGGGUCUACAAGAUCAAGCGUGAUGGCAAUGACCAAGUGGAGCGGUAUCGUGCAAGAUUGGUGGUGAAAGGAUAUGCUCAGAAAGAAGGUAUUGACUUCAACGAGAUAUUUUCUCCAGUGGUUCGACUCACAACAGUCAGAAUAGUCUUGGCGAUGUGUGCUACAUUUGACCUACAUCUUGAGCAGUUAGAUGUGAAAACUGCAUUUCUUCAUGGAGAACUUGAAGAAGAAAUAUAUAUGCUCCAACCAGAAGGUUUUGCAGAAACAGGAAAGGAGAACUUGGUUUGCAGGUUGAACAAAUCUCUUUACGGUCUCAAACAGGCGCCGAGGUGUUGGUAUAAGAGAUUUGAUUCCUUCAUCAUGAGCCUUGGAUACAACAGACUGAGUUCAGACCAUUGUGCAUAUUACAAGAGGUUUGAAGAUAAUGAUUUCAUUAUUUUGUUGUUGUAUGUGGACGACAUGUUGGUAGCAGGUCCCAACAAAGAUCGAAUCCAAGAAUUGAAGGUACAGUUGGCUAGGGAGUUUGAAAUGAAGGACUUGGGACCAGCAAACAAGAUUCUAGGGAUGCAAAUUCACCGAGACAGAAAUAACAGGAAGAUUUGGCUUUCGCAGAAGAAUUACUUGAAGAAAAUCUUGCGACGCUUCAACAUGCAAGAUUGUAAGUCAAUUUCUACCCCACUUCCUGUUAAUUUCAAAUUAUCCUCAAGUAUGUGUCCUAGUAAUGAAGCAGAGAGGAAGGAGAUGUCUCGAGUACCGUAUGCAUCAGCAGUGGGAAGUUUAAUGUUCGCUAUGAUAUGUACAAGACCGGACAUUGCACAAGCAGUGGGAGCAGUCAGUCGAUAUAUGGCGAAUCCUGGUGGAGAGCAUUGGAUAACUGUGAAGAGGGUUCUGAGAUACAUCAGAGGAACCUCAGAUGUUGCAUUAUGUUAUGGAGGAUCAGAGUUUACUGUCAGGGGCUAUGUGGAUUCAGAUUUUGCAGGAGACCUUGAUAAAAGGAAAUCCACUACUGGUUAUGUGUUUACACUUGCGGGAGCAGCUGUAAGCUGGGUUUCGAAACUGCAGACCGUUGUGGCUUUAUCUACAACAGAAGCAGAGUACAUGGCAGCUACACAAGCUUGCAAGGAAGCUAUUUGGAUACAAAGGUUAUUGGAGGAGCUCGGGCACGGACAAGAGAAAAUUUCUGUAUUUUGUGACAGUCAGAGUGCCUUACACAUUGCAAGGAAUCCAGCCUUUCAUUCCAGGACAAAGCACAUAGGAGUCCAGUAUCACUUCGUUCGUGAAGUAGUGGAAGAUGGAAGUGUGGAUUUGCAGAAAAUCCAUACAUCAGAGAACCUAGCAGAUGUUUUGACCAAGCCGAUAAAUACUGAUAAGUUUGUCUGGAGUAGAUCCUCUUGUGGUCUAGCAGAAACGUAGGCAACAUGAUUAUGGCGAAGCAGAAAGGAUGGUGUGGAGAUUGAUUGUUUUUCAAUUUAAUCUCCAAGUGGGAGAAUGUCAAAAUUGGCUACAUCUAGAAGUGUUGAAUAAACAAGAAUGGUUGGCAUGGCUGCAUCUAGAAGCUUUGACAAGAAUGGUUUGCACAUGGCUUUGAAAAUUGAACAUGGUUUUCACCCACCAAGCUUUGAUGAACACGGUUUUGAAGAAGAUUUUGAUACCCACGGCUUUGACUUUCUUGGCCAUCAUUUUGCUAUAAAUACAAGUGCAAAUGAAGAGCUUAUUCAUUCCAUUUUAGAGAGCAAUUUAGGGAGUUGAGAGAGAGUUUAAGAGCUUGCAUUUAUAAGCUCUUAUUACAGUGAUUGAGAGAGUUUGGGUGUAUUGGGGUUUUGGGUAGUGAGCUAAAAUACUACAAUACUUGUAACUCCUUUUCACUAGUAAAAUAUUUCCUUCUGUUUUCGCCCGUGGACGUAGGCUAAAAGCCGAACCACGUAAUUUCUGGUGUUAUCUAUUGUGCUUGUUCUUUAUUUUCUUACAAUUUCACUUUAGCUGCGUGUCUGCUUCGCCUACCAAUUUCCUAACAAUGUCAUGAAUAAUGUGAAGCCACAAAACCAACUUAACCACAGAGUUUUUAACCAGAGAGUUUAUAUGAAUAAUAGCAAGCACGAGAAAAGAAAAAGAACAGAGAGAUCGGAAAUUUUUCUGAAAGAGACACACAUUUACUCCUUGUUACCACUUCUGAAAAAGAGAAUUCAUAUCUAUAUAUUCAUAUCCCGUAGCCCACGUUUAUCUUAUAAGCUUAUCAUGCUUUUGCAUUCCCAUUACCCAAAACCAAAAACUGCAAAAUACAUGGAGAUCAGAUCUCAAGUAAUCCACAAUUCCAGCCAACGCCUCAAAAAACACGCAAUUCCAUAAUGGUAAACUAAACUAUGUACGAGUGCGUGAACGAGUGACCGUGUCGUCGUCGGCUACUAUUCGAGAGAGCCGUUCCAGAGAGGGAAGAAAAUGGCGAAGACACAGUGGGUGAGGAUAAGCUGAUAGAGUAAGGGAUUUUGUCUUCAAUGUCGUCUCAAUUCAAAAUUAGUUUUUAUUAAAAUUUUAAUUUUUUUUUUAUCUAGAAGGGCGCGAGCUAGUGGGGAGAGAAACGGCAUUUCUGCGCAUCGAUAUGCCGUUUCUCUCGCCCUUUUAGACAAUAACUAGCACUCUUAAUUUUUUCAUUUAAUUUUUUAGUAUCAUUAUCGAAUUCACUAAAAGUGAAUUUAGUACACUAUAUUAUAUUAUAGUAUAUUAUAUUAUGUUGUAUUGUAUUAGUAAUGUAUUAAAAUAAUACCGUACAAUAUUUGAUACUAUAUUAUACUGUAUUAAUUUUUAAUUAUACGAUAUUUGAUGCUGCACUGAAUUGUAUUAACUUUUUGACGAUUAAUUUAAUUACAUAUUUAAAAAAUAAUAUCCAUUAAUACUUAGAAAAAAUACUAAAUAUAAAAUUCUUAAAAUUCUUAAAAUUUAACAUUAUUGUAGUAUAAUUUAAAAAAAAAAACAUAAUUCUUUAUAAAGAUCGAAGUUUAUAACCUUAAAUUUUGGACAGCAUAACAUUUAUUUUUUUUAACUUUUUCUAAAUAUAUAACUUAUAAAAUAAAAAAUAAAAAAAAUAAUUCAAUUAAAUAACCUUUAAAUAAUAUCAAAACAUAAAUAAAAUCCAAAACCUCCAAUCGUAUUAUUUUAAUAUCAUAAAUUCAAAUUCCAUGAUUGCUUAAUUCUUUGAAGCUAGCAACAUAUGCAUUUAUCACUUUCAGUCUCAAAGAAUUCAAAACCUCCAUUACUCUCACAUACCCAACAGACCAAUGCUCAUAAAACCUAAAUGAUUUGAGAAAAACUCACCUAGAAGCUACAAACUCAAAUCAAUAUGCUUAUGAAAUUCAAGAUGUUAAAAGCCUAGCACUUGCACACUGUCAUGUGUCAACCAUGCUUCCUGGACGUUAAAAAACAUAUCAAUAUUGUUGCAGCUAAGUAAUGCUCGGUUAACAUAUUAGUAUUCUUGCAGCUAAGUAAUGCUCAGUUAGCCACUUGGGCUUUAGCACAAUGGUGAACCAUUACUCUCAAAGUUAAAGUGAGACUAUAAAGAUAGUGACUCGAGUCUCUAUAGGCUCAACCUCCCUCAAUUAAGCAAAAAAUUUUGUUGAGUUAAUUUGCAAGUCUUUAUGUCUUACGAAAUAUGAGUGGAGAAGAGUAGGGUUGGCAAAAUCUGGAUCUGGAUUAAUAAUUUUACAUCCGGAUCCGCAAAAAAGAUGCGGAUCUGGAUACGGGUAAUCCGGAUCCGCAAAAAUUAAAAUUUAAUAUAUAAUUUAAAAAGUCAAUAAUUUACCUAAUAAUAUCAAAUAAAAUCCAAUCAUAAUUUAACAAUGAAUAAUUCAACAUGAAUAGCAUACAAAUAAUCUUAUAAAUCUACAAAUAAAAUAAAAAUUUUCAUUUUUUAUUUCAUUUUUAAUGUAUAUUUUUUAUUUAAUUUUUAAUUUAAAAUAAAAUUCAAUAAUUUACCUCAUAAUAUCAAAUAAAAUUCAAUAAUUUCCAAUAAUUAAAAUUCAAUAUGAAUAAUAUACAACAUAAUAAAUCCACAAAUAAAAUUUAUUUUUAAUUUAAUUUGUAAUUUAAAAUAAAAUUUAUCCGGAUCCGGAUAUUCGGUUUUUUGGAUGCACUUGCAUCCGGAUCAAUGUGGAUCCCCAUCUUUCACAUCCGGAUCCGCAUUUUUUAAUAUGUACCCAGAUCCGGAUCUUCCAGAUCUUUGCAAAUCCGGGCCGGAUCUAGAUUUAUUUGACAUCCUUAGAGUAGAAACAUCCCUCGUCUGCGAGGGUCAUAUGUCUGGAUAUGUAUUUUAUAGAAUUAAUAUAAUAAUGUAAGUUUCAGUUAUACAUAUGAUUGUAAAUAUCUGUGUAAUAAAAUAAUCUGAUGCAUAAUUAAUAUUAAAAAAAAAAGUAAUGCUCAGUUAAGGCAACGCUCACCUAAGAUAACGUAAAAGCAUCAGAUGAACACUCAUUUGGAGCCCAUCUCCAUAACACGUCCUCAAAAGCAUGUAACUUUGCAUUGGAAAACAUCUCUUGUUUCUAAUAUGAAAUGAAAAUUAAAAACAAACAUAUUUGCUGUAGCAGUUCCUCUCCUAAAACAAAAUUAAUAAGGAUGAAAUACAUCCAAAUAACAAAAAUUUGCAAUAAGUAAGAAAAGAGCAACAAAACCAAAAAGGUAACCUAGUAAACACCCUUAAGAAUUGAGAUCGUUGACGACAUCAUAAGGAAUGGGAUCGACAGUUUCCAAUGUUGCACCUUCUACCAUAAAACUUAGUGACUGCUUCUUUAUACUGAUGACUUCACCUCUUGCCUUAGCUUCAGUCUUGAGUUCCUCUGCUUGAACUCGUUAGUAUCAGUAUACGUUGAAGUUUGAACAUGCUCCACAGGAACACGAAUCCUCUUCUUAAUGAUUUCUGUUACUAACCUGAAUACAUGCAUAUAUUGAACAAAAUUCAGUAUUCUAUCAUCAAAAAAUGCAUAUGCAGGCAAUUAUAAUCAAUUCAGGCAAGUUAUAAGUCAAUCCCAUAUGUCCAAUUAUGAUGGAGAAGACAAUUAUAACAAUACAAAUUUUAAAAACUUAUAAUUGCUUGAUUAUAUUCAUUAUAGUUGUUUAUGAUUCCGAAGAUAAAUAUUGAUUCAUGAUUACUAAAAUAAAUGAAACAAAAUUGAAUGACUUAAUUUAAGGAUCAUGGAUGAUUUAGCAUAAUGUCUUCUUCUGACACUUGCAUCUAUCAAUGGAUUAGAAAAGUUUUUAAAUUUUGGAUUUUUAUGGAUUUCUCAAAUCUUAUGAUGUAUGUAAUGUAGCAACUUUGUUCAAUCAAUAAUUAACAAUGAAAGUUUAUUUACUAUGCUUUAACACUUCUGCCACGUUCGUCAGUGUACGAAUUGCAAGAAAGAUUGCUCCUCAGAUCUAUUUGAGUUUGGAGACUAAUACUGCAAGUGAUGCAAGACCUAUAGAAAACUCGAAAAGCUCAAAUUUGAAAAGAAUCCUUAAUUCAUAUUUGGUAAUUAACUAAAAACAGUUACAGUAAUUACCAAGUAGUUAGAAAAUUCCAUGCUUUUAUAGCCAGCUAUAGAAAGCUUUUAAAUAAUUAAGAAAUAAAAACCAAGUUUAUUCAUUAAUACCGAACAGUUUAUUAUAGGUUUCAGCUAAUAAUAAUGCUCAUGCGCUAUUACAUUACUAUCGAUGAAAUUUCCAAAACAGAGGAAAAGGAAAGAGCAAUCAGACAUGCAAAUUAAAUUGGCGGAAAUCUUAUCUUUAAAUUGGAUAUCAUUGGCUUGUAACAAAAUCAGCAUGGAGCUACUAGUAAUGCUCAUAUUCUAUUACAUCACUAUUGGAAGAAAUUUCAAAAACAGAAGAAAACGAAAGAGCAAUCAGACGUGACAAUUGAAUUGGUGGAAACCUUAUCUUUAAAUGUGAUCUCAUAGGCAUGUCACCUGCUACAAGGGAUUAGUUCCUUCAUUGAAAAGCUUGAUAGAGUUGAGAAUUCAACGAGCAAACCCCAAUUGAAGCUUAAUUUGGGGAAUCCCAACCUGAAAUGACUCCGGUAUCAGUCCUGAUGAAGCAACUGCUGCAGCCAUAUAUGGACUCAUCAGAAAUUUACAACCACCCUCUGUCCAUCUCUCUUCUUCUUCUCAUUCUCCUGCUCACACUUGUACAGUUGCUGAAAAUCACCAGACAUGGUAGUAACCAUCUCAACUUACCUCCAUCCCCGCCAAGGCUUCCCAUUCUUGGCAACCUUCACCAGCUUCUGAGAACUCUCCCUCAUCGCUCUCUCAAAGCUCUUUCGGAGCGGUACGGCCCUCUGAUGUUCGUUCACUUUGGCAACUCUCCAACUCUUGUGGUUUCAUAGGCUGAAUUGGCCGGUGAAAUGUUUAAAACUCAUGACAUUGUGUUCUCAAACCGGCCCAAAAUCACAGCUGCCAACAUCCUCCUAUAUGAAUGCCGAGAUAUGGCGUUCGCUAAUUACGGCGAGUACUGGAGACAAGUCCGGAAGAUUUGUGUUCUUCAACUCUUGAGUGUGAGAAGAGUGCAUUCGUUUCAGCACGUUAGAGAUGAUGAAGUUUCAAGUUUGAUCAAUAAAAUGCGCCUUUCAUGUUUUAAUAAAGGCGGUCCUCUUAAUUUAACAAAGAUGCUACUGACUGUUUCCAACAAUAUAGUUUCCCGCUGCGUUCUUGGGAGGAAAGCUGAUGGCGAAGAAGAAAAUACUGGUCAGAGCAAGAAGUUUGGUGAGUUAUCAAGAAGGCUGGAAGAGCAGCUUGCUGCCUUUUGUAUAGGAGAUACGUUUCCAUCUUUGGGGUGGUUAGACGUUCUCUCCGGACUCAUUGGUCGUCUCAAAGCAACUGCUAGAGCAUUAGACGCUUUGCUUGAUCGGGUGAUUGAAGAGCACACGAACAGGGCAUCGUCAGGAAGUGACGAUGAUCAUGACCAAUCUAAUAAAAAAGACUUCGUGGAUAUACUCCUCCAACUUCGAAAAGAUGGCAUGCUUGGGGCAGAGCUCUCUCAGGACAAUCUUAAAGCAAUUAUCCUGGUCUGUCCUUCCUCUUAACUAGCUAGUCUUAAUUAUUCUAAUUAUUAGCUCUCUCUAGAUCUUCUACGUCUUUUACACACAUCACGCACGCAAAAGCGCACACUUGCAUAUACUCAUACGUACAGAUCAACACUAAUGGUUUUUCAUGUUUCACAAUCUCAGGACAUGUUUGUAGGAAGAACUGAUACUACUGCAACAACACUAGAGUGGGCAAUGGCAGAGCUAGUGAAAAAUCCAACUACUAUGAAAAGAGCUAGAGAAGAGGUUAGAAGUGUGGCAAAAGGGAAAUUAAACAUAGACUUGAAGGAUAUUGAGAAGAUGGACUACUUGAAAUGUGUCGUCAAAGAAACUCUGAGAUUGCAUCCACCAGCUCCUCUUUUGGCUCCACGAGAAAUAGCAGAGAGUGUUAGAUGGAGAGAUUAUAAUAUUCCUGCAAAAACUAGAUUGUAAAUGCAUGGGCAAUUCAAAGGGAUCCCCAAGGUUGGGACCGGCCAGAAGAUUUCUUGCCAGACAGGUUUUUAAAUAGCCCGGUGGAUUGUAAAGGCCAAGACUUCGAAUUCAUCCCCUUUGGUGCUAGAAGAAGAGGAUGCCCAGGGACGUCAUUUGCGUUAGUUGAAGUUGAGUAUGUGAUCGCCAACCUUUUGUACUGGUUUGAUUGGAAUUUGCCUCUUGGUAAAGUUGAGGAGAAUUUGGACAUGUCUGAAGUUAAUGGGCUAGUGGUUCAUAAGAAAUUACCUCUUCAUCUUGUGCCAACACUCUUUUCACCUUACCCUUAAUCUUGAUAUGUGUAGCAAAAUUUCCAUGGUAGUUAUGCUCUAAUCAUGAUUGUGCUCUUUUAAUUUCCCUCUUGUGAAAAAUUGUACCUGUGUUGUCUAUUUUAUUCUAUGUUCAUGGAUUCCUUGACGAGCAAGGUAUUAUCAAUUUUGUCACUUCUCUAUAUUAUAUUGGUCCUCUGUUUGAUCUUUUUCUAUAAAUUCCAUCAAUCGAUUAAGGUUUAUAGAAAUACGAGAAGUUGACAAUUACCAGCGGUGCUAGUGGUCGUGGUUGUAGAAUGUUAUAUCCAUCAAGUUGAUGGGAGAUUAAUUACAACUAAUCAAAGAACAAAUAAUUAUGACGCUGAUAGUAUGUCGAUCAUUCAUUUAUUUUCUAAUUCCUAUUUUAUAUAUACGGAUUGUUAUUUAAAAAUUACUACAAUUUCGCAUUGCAGAGGAAAAGAGAACAAAAAUUAGUUCAUAGUGUAAGGUAGAUCUACAAUAAUAAUAAACGCAUAAGGAGGAAGCUGAAGCACGCGAGACCAAACCCUAUGAGUAGCCUCAUUUAAGAAUCUUGUAAUUGGGUUGUCUUACAUAGAGGAGUUCAAAAGUACUUAACUAUUCUUUCCUUUUCUUUCUUCUUUUUUUUUUUUUCCCAAUUAGCCACUAACCACUCACCUGAAUUUUGACUUAGUGAUCUGCACAGCUCACAUAUGAUAAUACUCGUUUGGAACAUAUUUCAAAUUAGAAGUGCGGUACAUAGUGUAACGCAUGGAAAAUGCCACACGUAGCUUAGUAAAUAAAAGCGGCAAGCUGCCUGCCUCAUGUAAUACGACCUGCUUGCUUGGAUUCGGUUCGUAUAUAAAGCUGAAAAUUGAGAGUUGCUUGAUAACUGGACAUCAUUUGCAACCGAGAGCGAAGCAAAGACAUAGGAAUUAAAAGAAGGAAAACGGAAUAAAGAAAGAAAAGAAAGGAAAAAAGAAGAAGAGAAAAGAGAAGCUAGGAGUGAGGAAAAAGGGAAAAAAAAGAAAAGAAAUUAAGAAGCCGAAAGUCAAAAAGAAGUUGAAAAGGGGAACUUUGAAGAAACAUUUCAGGAAAUGGAAUUAGGCAGUUAAAUUAAUAUCUAGCAAACUAAUGGGUAAUAAAUUCAUGAUGUUUGAACAAUUAUAAUACAAUUUUCAUGAUAUAUACAAGUUUUUAUAUCAAUUCUAACUAGUUUUUGAACCCUAUAUUUUUGGAGAAAUCCAAGUAUUUAGGAACUCAUAUGAACCCCGACGAACCCUAGAGUGUACCAGAAUCUAUGAAGAAAUUACUAUUAUUACUAUUAUGUAUUCCGUGAAAUAUUUAUAUUUGAUAGUAUGAUUUUUAGUAUCAUCUUAUGAUUAUAUGUACGCACAUUAUAUGAUUGAUUGAGUCAUGAGAUGUGAUUGUCAGUCAUCAUACAAAUGCCCUUCCCAAUAGGUUUUAUGCAUGUAUAUUGAGAGUAGAUUACCCAAUUCGUGCGAUAUAGUUAAAUUCCAGAGGGUACUGACAUGUUUUUCCUUUGUGCUGCCUGCGAUGAUGAUCCUGGCAAGUUGGAUAGUUAUUCUCCUGGGUAUUACUUGGGGCUAUUUGCUAUGUAUGCAUAUAUGAUUUUUCAUUUUUGCUUAUGUAUUAUGUUCAGUGUGUAGUUAUAUCAUGUGAUUAUGUAUAAGUACUAGUACACUAAUAUAUUUUUAUAUAGAUAUAAUUAUAUCAACUAACUGUGCCACAAGUUCCUUAUUUUUCCUAUUUACCUCGUUUCUCCUAGGUUUCUGCAAGAUUUCGUAUGGUUCAAUUUCUAAUCAGUUGAGGAUGGGCCACGAUAUGCAUUGCUGCACAACUUGCAUUUUGAGCAGGUUUAUGUUUAUAUGUAUAUAUUUAAGAUGUAUAUUUGUAUAGUGAGAUGUGAAGGUGCAAGUUUUGAAUAUAUUUUCGGUUAAGCCACAGAUAUUGUCAUAUAUUUAUAAUGGAGAGGCCCAAGGACAAUUUUUUAUUUUCAUGGAUUAUAUUUAUGUCAUGAGCUUUAGAUGUAAGAUCACAAGAUUUGCCUCAAAUCCGAUAGAUAGGUCAGAACGGGUCAUGUCACAUAUUUUCAAAAUGUUGACAGUUUUCUAAAACACAAGUAAAUCAACAUAUUAUUCUAUCAUAGGAGAUUUCAUGUACCCAUUGAGCCAAUUAACACUUAAAAAUUAAUUGCUUUACAUGUGAAUAAAAUUAAUUUGAACUACAGACCUCUUCUUCCAUAAGAGAUUUUAUUCAUUGAAUUGACAAUCUAACACCUACAUAAAUUAAUUGAAGAUGAAAUGAGACGGCCUAUAGGCCUACAACAACAAAUUAUCUAUAAAUUUACUGACCAAAUUUAAUUAUAAAAGUAUCAAUUUCUAUUAUACAAAUGACAUUAAAUUAAACCAUAUAGACCAAAUUAUAGAAAAAGCAUCAUAAAAAAAAAGUCUCCUAUCUAAAUAAUUUCCCUUAUGCCACUUUUUGCCUUAUAAUUUCUUAAGAAAAUGAAAUAAUAACUAGGCAACCCAAGGGGGGUGAAUUAGGAUUUUUAGAACUUAAGCUAAACAAACUACACAACAUUCAAUCUAUUGCCUUAAUAAAAUCAAAAAUAAUAAAUUUAAUAAAACAUAAUGAUAAUAAAAGAGUAAGGGGAGAGAGGUCAAACAUGUGAUUUUUACGUGGUUCGGCUAACCGUGCCUACAUCCACGCCUCUGAUCUCACCGGGCUUGAUGAUUUCACUAAGUAAGCCUCCAAGGCUUCAACCACUCUUACAAUUGAAUUCAAAGGUGUCAAUGAACUUUUACAACAAGAGAUUAUCUCUCAAUCUCUUAACCCAAGUGUAUCCCAACACUUGCAACCUCUCAAUUUGAUUUUCAAAAAGAUUAUAAAUAAAUCUCUCUCACACAAUGUAUUUGAUUACCAAUGAAAUUCUAAAGUGUGAGUAAAUGAGAUUAAUACAAGAAUUCAAAGCUCAAUAAAAGUUGUAUGCUCAAUAGUUUGCUCAAUGAUAAAAGUUGAAAUAUCAAUUGUUUGUGUUUAAAUGAGCUUUUUUAUAUUUUGAGCUUAAAACUAGCUGUUAUAGACAAUUUGCUUGAAGUCGGAUCGCCGUUAACUCGAAGUCGGAUUGUCGUUUUGACUUGAGCAAGUUACUGUUGGACGAAAUUUCAAAUUUUUGGAUCACCGUUAUGAUCACCGUUAUCGUCCAGUGACCUGCAAAGAAAAUGUCGGCUUACCGUUUUCAAGAAGUCGGAUCGCCGACAGUGUCCAGAAGCUAAUCUUCAAUUAUGUUCGAUGUUAGUUAACCGUUAUCAAGAUGUCGGUUAACCGUUUGCUAAAUUGAUUGCUACAGUAAAUUAUUUUCUAAAAUUAUAGUUUUGUCCUAAAACUUUAUAAAAUUAUAUUAUGGCCCAAAUCUUUAUGAAACUUAUCAAAUAAGUCCAUUUUCAGAAUUUUAAGCAAUGUUAAUUUCAAAGUUUUCAAAACAUUUUCAAUUAGAUCAUGAACUUGAAAAAGGUCUAAUUUCAUAAAAUCAUUUUCCAUUUAAGUAUAAAACUUUACUAUAUCAAAAUAACGAUUUAUUUAAAAUGUAUGAAAAAUAAUUUGAGCUUUUUCAAGCUAAGUCAUUCUUAAUCUUGUUUGUUAUCAUCAAAAUCAUUAUUAUAAACAUAUUCAUGUUAACAGAAAAAUCUCACAAAUUUCUUUCAACACAAUAAUAUUUACUGUGAAUUGCUAUAACAAUGGUGAAAAUUAAAACACACGCUAUUAGAUUGAAGGACCCUGCGCGCUUCCACAACUAUAGAGUCAAGAAAAAAUUUGAAGAAUUCAUCGAGCCGCGAAAAAAUUUGCAAGAAAAUGGCUUUAUAUUCCCAAAGCAGCCAACGGGAGUAAUGAACAACAUCUAUACCACUGUAGCAUGAAGAGGCUGGGUCAAGUUUUGCUCUCACCCCCAAGACCCAAUUAUCCUGAUCGUUAAGGAGCUUGUUGCAGCAAGAUCAACGCAACAUUUAUGUAAGGCAAGUGCAAGUCCCUUUAGACUCUCGAACUAUUAAUGCCUUCUACGACUUACCUAUUGCUGUUGAGUGUGAAUAUAUAAAAUUUGCUGAGAACAUUAUGGUAAAGAAAUGGAAGGGGGGAGGUUUUUAAAACCUUGAUUGUUUAGGGUAGUGAAUGGAUGAAUGAGAAGGGGCGAGUGGUUAGUAUGAUAGAUUUAAAACCUAUUACUAAGGUUUAGGUCAAAUUCUUGAAAUCGAGAGUAAUGCCACACUACCACGGUUUCCCAAGAUAGACUCGUACUCAUUUAUGCUAUAGUCAAGGUUUAGCUAUAGAUGUAUGCAAGAUCAUUGAGAAAGAAAUUAGAGAGUGUGCAAUGAAAAAAUAAAAAUCUGCUGCAUUGUUAUUCUCUUCUCUUAUCACGGGAAUUUGUGAGGCCUCGGGAGUGAAAUUUGAGGAAAGUGAUGAAAGAGUGAAGAAUGAAGGGGCCAUUACAGUGAGGACAGUUGAUAGGAUUACUGGGAAAUCUACAACUGCAGUAACCUCAGAACGCCUUCCUACAGCUAAGCUAGAACAAGCUACAUGGAUUGAGAAUAUACUUUAAUAACUUAGUGAAGUCAUGAAGGCACGUGUCCAAGCACAAAUAGAAGAAAAUCAGAGAUUUUGGACUUACUUACGGCAUCUUGAAGCACAAAAGCAUGGAUUUUCACUGUACAUGAAGAGCAAAGAUGCAGAUUUUCUUGAGUCACUGUUGUAGUAGUCUAAUUUUGGAAGGGAUAAGGAAGUUGCUCCAGUAGAAGUGAGUGAAGAUGCAAAGGUUGAAGGAGAGUGUGAGGAAGAAUAGUAGCUAGAGCAAGGAAAAACAAAAGAUGUUGAGGCAGCAAAGGAGUCAGAAGGUGGAGAGCAGGAAAUAGAGGAGGAAAAUGAGAAAGAACCUCUAAUGGUGACUCCCACAAACAAAGGAAAAGAAAUUUUUUUUGUUGAAGAGAAGUUCGAGUAAAAGUGGGAAGAGGACGUGGAUGCAGCUAUAGAGGAAGCCAUUAGCAAAGUUGUUAGGACAAAAGAAGUAAGAAGUAGCCUGAGAAACCUUAUUGCAAGUAUCACUACUGAGGAACCAACAUCAGUAACACUUGCACGAGCUACUACACAGCAAAUCCCAAUAAAAUCCCUAGUCUUAGCCGCUAGGGCUUCCAGUAAAUAAAAAAGGGCACAAUGUUUUAGAGGUGCUACAGCGCCAGAAGAACUAGAACCUAAGAAAACAAAGACAACUUUAUCAAGGCCAUAGAAACUGUUGGAACUCCUCCAACUAGUCCAACUAAGAGCCAGAAAAAGAAACAACCGAUUACUGUACCAUUAGGUUCACCUAAGGAACGUUUGAGGAGUAGAUCAAAGAAGAAGUGAACAUUUUAGCAUGUGCUGCAACAAAACUUCUAACACCAAGGGAGUAUCCCCUGCUAGCCUACUUUAAUUUUUCAAUUUCUGGAACUUUUCUUUUCUUUUAUGUAUUUCAUCUUGUUUCUUAAGCAUUUAUUUAUUUUUAUUAGUGUAUGCAUGUUAUCUUUAAAUCAUUUUAUGUGCAUGUGAGGACAUAACACCUCCCAAGUUUGGGGGGUCUGUGCUAUAGUGUAAUGUGUUUAUGAAUGCAUGUGUUUUUGUUGUGUGUGUAGUUCUAUUAUCUAGUAUUUGUAUUUGGAUUAUAAAACCCAAUGAGGAUGAAUUGAGUGUUGAAAUGUGGGAAUGAAUGACUGCCAAGUAGAGAUAGCUUAUGGAUGAAGGUUGAAAUUCUGUCUUAACAUUUAGGUUUUGGUUGAGUUUAUGAUUAUGUUGUAGAAAAACCAGGUAGUGCAAAAAGGGUAAGUAUAUUUCAAGUUUGGGGGAACCUAAAAUUUUUUUUUUGAAUUAUCACAAACUGUGCUAGUUAUGAAAUAAAAUUCUACUCCAAUGACUUAGUUACUGAGUAACCAGGGCUGAGAAUGUACUCCAUAUGCAGACUUGAGUAAAAAGGCAGUGAGAGUUAUGAACAUUGUUGUAGCAACCCAAUUUUUUUUUUAAACAAAGAAAAGAGCAAGAUAGGUCAUCAAUCUAGGAUAUUGAGUAACCAGGUCUAUUUAUGAGUCUCAUGUUCAGCCUUAAGUCAAAGGUGUCCAAGGAUAAGACUAUGUAAUAACAUUUUAGAUGUUUUUGCUGCAACAUUUCUGAUUUGUACAUUAGUCAAGUAAUUGAGUGUCAUCAUUAUAAGUGAUAGACAUUCACAUGAAAUAACAGUGUUACAUUGAAGAGUAUUUAUCUAUGAAAAAGAAAAAGAAUUUGCUAUAGCACAGUUUAAACCUAUUUUUGACCCAUGUUUCCCCCAUUGGUGUUUUAUCUUUGAGUUAUGUGUGAUGCCUAUGUGAUACUGCAGCAACUCUAGAGCUUGAUCAAAGUGCCACACACGCACAAUAGACAAAAUAAGAUCUAAGUCUAGAACUGGAAUAGCUAUGGCAAUUUUGCAUGUUAAAAAGGUGAUCUGAGGGUUGAUGAACCCAAGCAAGCUGGAUGACAGAGCUAAGUUAUUUGUUGUAUGAUUGCAUGAUUGAAGUGUAGUAUUGUUGUCAUUACUUGAGGAUAAGUAAUGGUUUAAGUUUCGGGGUGUGAUAACUCUAUGAAAUGAGAGUUAUCAUGGCAAUUUUAGAUUUAAAUCAAUAUUACUUAGAAAGUAAAUUAUGUAUUUUUAUAGCAUUUUUAGUUACAUGUUGCAUGAGUAUUUAUUUAAGUUUGUUUUUAAUAAAUUGAUUUUGUUUUAGAUCAUUUUGUGCCUGAUUGUGUGUGAUUGUAAGUGACCAAAAAGUUCAAGUUUUAUGGAUGGAAUGCUACUACAACAAACUUGUAGAGAUGACAUAAGAACUUAGUUGUAGAGGAAUUAAAAUAAGUCUGGAACAAUAAAGAUGUUGUAGCUGUUGCUACAGCAAUCCUGUGGCAAUAACGAACUGGAUUUUGCGUGCAAUAACUAAAAGAUUGCGAUCUAAGGUUUCCAAAAAUUGAAGAUACAUGGCCACACGCUUUUGGUUGUCCUAAUUCUAAGUUAUAAAAGGAGACACAUGAAAAGAAAAAGGAGAGCCGUCACUCAAGGAAAACAAUAACAGAGAAAACAAAAAUAAAAUAAAUAAUAAGAGAGAUUUGAGGUUGCAACAGAGCAUUCAAAGAAAAAACGGUGGAGACAUCACAAAAACCAAGCAGAACUCAAUUCUUCUUCUUAUUUUCUUGUUUUUAUUUAUUUAUAGGAAUGUAUUUGAUGGCUAAAACUAUUUUUAUUACUGUUCUAUUGCAAAUCAUGAACUAAACUUUAUUGUCAUUGAGUGAUAAAAAAUUUUAAUGGAUGUUUGACUAAUAUAUGCAUGUUGCUCUGGAUUUAUUGCAGCAUUUUGUGUUGAUUUUAUUUAUUACAAUUCCCUAUUUCGGCUGACCACCUAUUUAGUGGAUGCUAGCCAAGAAAAAACCUAAAAAAAGUAUGACGUAGUGGAGCAAAUUAAGACAAUAUAUGAUUUUAGAUUGGGUUUCCCAAGUUGAGUUAAUCUUGAUUUAAAUAGGGCCAUAUUUGAUCUAAAAUUAGUGAAGAACUAGACAUAAGGAUCACCUUGUAUGGUAAUUGGAAUCUAGAACGAAUAAUGCUAUAUCUAAUGUUAGCGUAACAACUGGUCAUUGUUAUGUUUCAUUUAAAUCUAAGAUAUCCAACAUGCGACAGCUAAGAAUGCAUGAGGGAUUCUGCCUAGUGAUGUAGUAGAUGUUGUAGCAACAUAAUCUUAAUUAGAGAAAUAGUCAAUGUCAUUAAGUGAGUUUAAUUACUCAACUACUCUUUUCCCAAUGAGUUUCCAUUUGUGUUUGAUUUAAGAAUUUUCCUUAUUGCAUUUUAAUUAGAUUCGUGCAUAUACGAGUACAAUAAAAUUUACACAACAUUAAAAAAUCACAACAAUUGUUAUUAGAGCAUGGUUUGAGAAUUUAUGAUUUUUUUAUUAAUAUCUGUAAUAACCCUCUUUUAAUUUUCAAUUGUCCUUAUGGGCAUAUGCAAUUUGGAUUAUUAUUCCGCAUAUAAAUAGAGUUGAAAGAAAAUUAUUGGCAUAUGAUUUUUUUCUAUAUAUUAUUUUGUUACAAAAUAGCAACAAAAAAAAGGGCAACCCAAGAUGGUUUUUGGUUGUUGGUUGCACAAUACAUAAAGAUGAAACUACGGUUUCUUUUAGAAUUUUUUCAUGAGGCACCCUAAGGUUUCUUUGGUUUAUGUUUUUGACCAAAGUUUAGAAUUUUGUUGCAUUUAAGUCCAACAAAAUUUAUUGGUGGCUAAAGGAAAAUAUGUGAUGAGUGACUUUUCGAUAAAGAUCAUUACUGUCCCUUAAGGUAUUAUAAAAUCUAAAAUUUGCUAUAAAUUUUAAAAAACAACCAAAUAUUAAUUUAUGGAGAACACAUAUAUUUGUUAAUGUUCAUGCCGUUUGAUGUCUAUAUUACAUAUAAUUUGUUAAUCACCAAAGUGGCCAAAUUAGAAAGUUUCAUAAAUGUCAAAUUAAAUUCAGUUUCAAGUACUCAUAAUUAUUGUGAUGCUUAUGAUUGAAUGACAUGGUGAUUUUGUUGUAUGGGAAUAUUGAAAUUCAUAAAUUAUAAAAUAUUUAGGAAUUACCUAAAGGUUGAUUAAUUAAUUUUAUAAUAUAUGAUUAUGAUUAUAGUAAUUAGUAUAAUUGAUUAGAUAUGUUUAGUAUAUCCAAAGAUAGUAGGCGUGUCCAGUUAAUGUGUAUUUGGUUACUAAUUAUGUGAAAAUUAAAGUUAAACAUCAAUUAUGUUUAUUAUAGUGUAUUAUUGUAUCGCUCAAAGGUGAACUUCAAUAUGCACUUAAAUUUUUUUGUGAAUUUUAUCUGAAUCUAUAUUAUGUGUUUAAGUUCAAAGCAGUAAUAUGUGAGCAUUUAUAUAUAUAUAUUUGCAGCAUUUGUGUCGAUUGCUCUUUAUUUGUAAGAUUCAUUUGUUGUUACGUUUAAUGGCCCUAAUUAUCCAGAUUAGUCUGAAUAAAUCCAGUUUCACUUAGGUGUUUUGCAUCUUGACUUAGCACUAUUACUUGAAAAGACAACUGUUAUUACUGAUGAAAGCAACGCUGAAGAGAGAUCACUCUAUAAGACUUGGGAGAGAUUAAACAGACUAAGCCUAAUGUUUAUGUGGAUGGCAGUUGCCAGCCACAUCAAGUCCAUAAUUCCAAUACUGAAAAUGCGAAGGAAUAUAUGAAAUUUGUAAAAGAGCAUUAUCAGUUUGAAUCGCUGAUAAGUCCCAUGCUGGACAUGAAUGGGUAAGUUAACCAUAUGUAAGUUUGAUGGUACACGUACAAUGCAUCAACAUAUGACUGAGAUGAUAGGCACAACAACAAAAUUGAGGUCCAUAAGGAUGGAAGUGAGUGAGAGUUUCCUCAUGCAAUUCAUUAUUAACUCGUUACCUCCUGAAUGAGGAUGGAAGUGAGUGAGGUUUUUCUUAUGUAAUUCAUUAUUAACUCUUUACCUUCUGAGUAUUAACUCAUUUUUGCAAUAAACGUGGACACUUUGCUAAAGAUUGUCUAAAGUGUAAAGCUUAGUUCGAAAAUAAAUGUAAGCCUAGUGCUUUAGUAUGUUUUUAGGCAUAUUGCUUUAGUAUGUUUCGAAUCAAACUUAGCUGAAGUUCCUUAUAACACGUUGUAGAUUGAUUCUGAUUGCAAUCCUCAUGCUUCAAACACGAUGUAAGGAUUUCUUAUGAUCCAACCCAUAAACCCAAAUGAGAAGUUUAUUUUCACAGGGAACCGAAUUAAAGCUCUAAUUAAAGGCAUUGGGAAUUAUUGUUUGAUUUUGGAUACUGGAUAUCAUUUAGAUCCUUUACAGGCUUUUAUGUUUCUUUUAUUUCUCGCAAUUUAAUUUCCUUAUCCAAACUUGAUUCCGUUGGAUAUUCUUUUACAUUUGGGAAUGGAUGUUUUAGUUUAUUUAAACAUAAUAAUAUCAUUGGUUCUAGAAUUCUGCGUGAUGGUCUAUACAAAUUAAAGCUUGAUAAUAUUUUUACUGAGUUUCUAUUAACCUUGCAUCAUAAUGUUGUCACUAAACGUGGUUUAGUGAAUGAAGUUCAGCUUACUUAUAGUAUAAGGGUUUGAGUCACAUAUCCAAAGCAAGAGUAGAGAGAUUAGUAAAGAAUGAAAUUCUUUCAGAUUUGGAUUUUACUGUUCUUGAAAUUUGCGUAGAUUGUAUUUAGGGAAAACAAACAAAACACACAAGUAAAAAGGGAGCCACAAGAAGUACACAACUUCUUGAGAUUAUACACAUUGAGACUUUAUGGCAUUCUAACUUUUGGUGGAGAAAAGUAUUUCAUCACCUUUGUUAAUGAUUUUUCACAUUAUGAUUAUAUUUAUUUAUUGCAUGAAAAACUCAAUCAGUGGAUGCCCUAGGGAUAUUUAUCAAUGAGGUUGAAAGACAACUAGAUAAAAAAAAUGAAAAUUGUCAAGUCUGAUAGAAGAGGUGAACAUUGUGAAAGAUGUACUGAGAAUGGACAAUGCCUUGGCCCAUUUGCUAAGUUCUUAGGAAGACGUGGCAUAUGUGCUCAAUACACAAUGUCAGGUACACCAAAACAGAAUAGUGUAGUAGAGAGGCGUAAUUGUACCUUAAUGGAUAUGGUUAGGAGUAUGUUAAGUUACUCAUCUUUACCUUUAUUGUUGUGGAUGGAAGCGUUAAAGACUUCCACUUAUUUGUUAAAUAGGAUUCUUAUUAAAGUAGUUAUAAAGACUCUAUUUGAUCUAUAGACGGAAAGGAAACCCAAUUUAAGACACCUGUAUAUUUGGGGUUGUCGUGAGGAAUUAAAGAGUUAUAAUCCACAUGAAAGGAAAUUGGAUUCAAGAACAACUAGCAGAUAUUUAAUUGGUUAUCCAAAAAAUCUAAAGGGUAUAGAUUUUAUUAUCCUAACUAUAGUAUGAGAAUUUUUUAAUUUCGAAAUGCCAGGUUCAUUGAAAAUGGUGAAAUUAGUAGGAGUACAUAACCACGAAAAGUGGAAAUCUAAGAAGUUAGAGUGCAAGCUCCGUUGCUUGUUACUUCUUUUAAAGUUGUUGUUCCUAUAGUUGUUGAGCACACUAACAACUUUCAAGAACAAAAAAUAAAUAAUCUAGUACCUCGUAAUAAAGUUGUCAAUAUGAACCUAUGGCAACUCAACCACAAGAAAUAGAAUUAAGAAUAUCUUAAAGAGAAAGAAGGUUUGUUAUUUCUGAUGAUUAUGUAGUUUACAUUGAUAAAAAUUCAAAUUCGUUUUCACAAGCCAUGAAAAGUGCUAAUUCUGAUAAAUGGAUAGAUGCCGUAAAAGAAGAGUUGAAAUUAAUGGAUCACAAUGAUGUUUAGGAUCUUGUUGAAUUAUCUAAAGUUUGUAAAUAAAUCGCGUGCGAUUAUGUCUAUAAGACUAAGUGCGAUUUGUAUGGCAACAUGGAGCGAUUUAAGGUAAGACUCAUUGCUAAAGGUUUUACUCAAAAAGACUACAUUGACUACAAAGAGACCUUUUCACCAGUCUCUUAGAAGAAUUCCUUUAAAAUUAUUAUGGCAUUUGUGGCUCAUUAUGAUCUAGAGUUACACUAAAUUGAUGUGAAAUUGCCUCUCUAAAUGGGAAUUUAGAGGAAGAUGUUUGUAUGGCCCAACCAGAAGGCUUUUUAACUAAAGGAAAUAACCUUGUGUGUAAAUUAAAGAAAUUAAUAUACAUACUUAAGCAAGCCUCCCGACAAUGGUAUCUUAUGUUCUUUUGGAUUUAAAGAAAACAUCGUUGAUUGGUGUAUAUAUCUUAAAGUUAGUGGGAGUAAGAAUAUUUUUCUAAUUUUGUAUGUUGAUGACACUUUGCUAGCUGCUAAUGAUUUUAGUGUACUUCAUGAGACCAAAGAUUUUCUCUCUAAGAGCUUCGAAAUGAAAAAUAUGGGCAAGGCACCCUAUGUAAUUAGAAUCGAAAUAUUUUAUAAUAGAGCAGAAGGAUUGUUAAGGUUGUCUCAGAAAGCAUAUAUUAAUAAAGUUUUAGAGAGAUUCGGAAUAGAAAAAAACUCUGUAAGUGUUAUUCCAAUUCAAAAAGAAGAUAAGCUCAGCCUUAUGCAAUGCCCAAAGAACGAAUUGAAAUGCAAAAAAAGGGAAAAGAUUCCUUAUGCAUGCAUUGUUAGAAGUUUGAUGUAUGCUUAGAUGUAUAUUAGGCCAGACAUCAAUUUUGCUAUUGGAAUGUUGGGCAGAUAUCCAAGUAAUCCUGGAUUGGAUCACUGGAAACCUGCAAAGAAAGUAUUGAGAUACUUGUUGUAUGUAUUCUAAUGUUAUUGGUGUCAAUGUGCAAGUGUACACAACAAGUAAUAUAAUGAUAAGUAUUCAAGAUCGUCUCCACAAAGAUUGUUGUUAUAGGAAUUGCUACAACAAUUUUAUCAGUGCAAUGUUUAUUCUAAAAUAGAAUUAAAAUAAAUUAUAAAACUAAUAAACUAAUUAAGAUAAAAAUACAAUAAGAAAAAUGCAAUAAAGUAAAUUAUCACAACAAAUAUAAGGAUGUAAUCAAUGGGAAUGGAGCAGUUGAGUGAUUAAACUCACUUAACGGUUUUGACUAUUUUCCUAAUGUUUGGUUCGAUUGCUACAGCAUCUGCUACAGCACUAGGCAGAAUUCUUAUAUAUCCUCAGCUGUCGCAUGUUAGAUUUCUUAUAUCUAAAUGCAACUUAACAGUGACCAAUUGUUAGGCUAACAUCAGAUAUAGCAUUACCCGUUUUAAAUUCUAAUUACCCUAUAAGGUGAAUCCUUAUAUAUAGUCAAUCACUAAUUUUAGAUGAGGUAUGGCCUUUUUUGAAUCAAGUUAAACUAAACUCAGGAAACUUAAUGUAAAACCAAUUAUUGCUCUAAUAUGUUCUACUAGAGUAAAAAAUAAUAUCGAAAAACCAGUUCAGAAAUUAAACCUCUCCACUCAACUUUCUCCCUCUAUUGAUCUUGAACCCACCUCUAUGACCCAAGCCCUUAAAUCCAAAAUGGCAUCGAGCCAUGUCUGAGGAAUAUGAUGCUCUAGUUCAAAAUGGGACAUGGGGCUAGUACCUUCUAUUUCUAGUCAUAAUAUUGUUGGUUGUAAGUGGAUUUUUAGAACUAAACAUCAUUCUGGUGGUUCUAUUAACAUGUUUAAAGCUCGUUUAGUGGCUAAAGGAUUUCAUCAAUGGCCCAAUGUUGACUAUUAUGAUACUUUCAAUUCUAUUGUAAAAACGACCACUGUUCAACUAGUUCUUAGUCUUGCUAUUAAUCGCGAAUGGUCUCUCCGUCAACUUGAUGUCAACUAUAAUCCCUUCAGAUUCUCUUUAUUAAUAAUUAUGGUAAUUCUUAGUAAUUUCUUUUGAUUGGUUUAUUAAGAGAUUUUAGAGAAUGAUUCUAGACUUUUCUAAUUUACUAGAGUUACCAAGAAUUUCCUAAGAUUACAUUUAUUAAUUACACAAGGCAUGUGUGCUUGCUUUAUUACUUGCAUUUGUUAUGUAUUUAUUAUUUAUAUUUAGGCAAUGGCUACCUUAGAGCUGCUCUAAGGUAAAGCAUAAAUUAUAGCCACACGCGCAAAGUGAUAAAUAAUAAAAAAUACGUUAUAACUUUAAUUAUAUAGUUAUAAAGGCAUACAUUAUCUUAGAGCGGUUCUAAUAUAAUUGGAUCCUUAUAUUUAUCACAAAAGCUUGCAUUUAUUCAAAGAUACAAUUAUGAACAUUCAUAAUUAGGGGUGGGCAUUUUACCCGAUCCGACUCGACCCGACCCGAUAAAUUCCGGGUUCGGGUCGGGAUUGAAACCCGAUUAGAUUGAAAUUUACAAACCCGAUCGGGUUGUGAUAAGUUCGAGUCAAACCCGACCCGAUCCGAAUAUCCGAUCGGGUUCCUAAAAAAAAAAAAUAACAAUGAUUUCUGGCAUGUGUCUGUACUCUAGUACUCCUUAUUGAACAUAUUUCCCUCUCCAUUCUCCAACAGCAAUCGAAUCACACCAAUAACCAAUCCAAAAAGUUGGCAGCCAUUCUGUCAAAAUUCUUCUCAAAGACGUUUUAAACUUUAAUAAAGAAAAUAAAGUUGCCUUAGAUGGCAUUUUCCAAGUGCAAUGAUGUGGACUGAAGGCUGAAGCAAUCCUCACCAUUUUCUGUUUUUGUCCAAUUUAAUCAUUCAAAAGAGUUCUUAUCUUCUACCCAACGCCAAGCAAUUGAUAAUUUGAGUAUUUGACAAAUCGUUUAAGAACAGAACAAUUUCUUUUUGGAGGAAAAGAAAAAAAAACAAAAAGGGAAGAGAGGACGAGAAAGAAACAAAGAAAGAAAGAAAAAAUCUGAUAAGAGCAUGGACAAAUUUGUCACGCUGCUGCACAACACACACAGAGAACAGAAGUCACAAGCUGCACAGCACACAACCACUGUGCCACACACACAUACGCUGCUGCACACACAAAAGUCACAAGCUGCACAGCACACACACUGACACUGUGACACACACGCUGCACACACACGAGCUGCACAGAUAGCACACACAAACGCUGCAAGUGCACAGUACACACACACGCUGCACACAGUCACUCAACAAUUCACUCGCAAACCUAACAUGCACACACGUUGUUAGCCACAACUUCACAAAUCACAACUCAACUGUCAAACAACUAAACAAACACAAACAAGUAACAACUGAUGAACUGAACAAGGCAGUCGCAACCCGCAAGUCUGCAACCAACCACCACAAGACGCGAUCUGUUGCUGCCAACUGCUGAAAUCACGAUCUGUUGCUGCCAAGUGAAGUCGCGACCAGCUGCUGCCAAGUCAAACUCAUCUAGCCGUGAGCCGUGAGCCGUCCGCAUCUCCGCGAUCUGCUGCUGCCAACUCCCAAGUAAAGCCGCGAUCUGCUGCCAAGUAAAAUCUCGUCCGUCCAGCCAUGAGUCGUGGCCACCGAUCUGCUGCUUGAAGGCCGAAUCCUCUCCACCCGAACCCGAUUUUGAAGCUUUCCGGUUUCCACCUUCCACUUUCAAGCUUCAAUUUUUUUCAAGUUUCCUAAGUCGUUUCGUUUCAUGGUACUACAUAUACACUAUAUAAUUAAUUAAUUAUAUGUGCUAAAUAGUUUAUUAUGUAAUUCGGUAAUUGUUUAUUAUUUAAUUGUUGUAAUUAACUAAUUAUGUAUUUAUAAAUAUUAGUAAUAAAAUCAAGGAAAUUUUGUUAAUUAUUGAGCUCAUCAGAAAUUAUUUUUUUUUCAUAUAUAAAAAGGAAUUGUUGAUUGUUGGGUUUUGUUAAUUGAUAAUUGUUAAUUGUUAAUAAUUGUUAAUAAUAGUUAAUAAUUGAAAUAAUAUUAAUUGAUAAUUGUUAAUAAUAGUUAAUAAUUGAAAUAAUAUUAAUUGAUAAUUGUUAAUAAUAGUUAAUAAUUGAUUUUUUUAUUAAUAAAUUAGCACAUUAGGUAGAUUAAAUAUUAAAAUUAAGUAUUAUGUUGUAUAUAUUUUAUAAUUAUAAUGUGUUAUGUAAUUAUGUGUACUUGUGCAGUAGCUUCAAGCUUUCAACCCUAAAAAAUAAAUAAAUUCAAUUAAUAUUUUAUUAUAUGUUAAUCAUCUGUUAAGUUGUUAAGUAUAAGUAACUUGGACUUGAAAUUAAAGGAUUUAAUUUAUAAUAAGAAAUAAGAUAUAGAUAGACAAAUAAUAUCAUAUUAUUAUGGGGAAUGGGUAAUUGGAUAUCAUAAAUUAAUUAAUUAAUCGGGAAUUUCUUACUUUUUGUUUAUGGAGCAUGAACAACUUGAAUUGAAAUUACUAAUUUUUGUUUAUGGAUUAUGUUAAUAAUAUUUAUGUGUUUUGAUUUUUGAAUUAAUGAUUAUUAAUUAUUAUUUUGAAUAUUCAAAUGCUUAGACACUCAAGAUCGAAUUCGAUGAGUGACGAUGAAGACCAAAGUGUACAAAUGGAAGGAACCCAUAAAGUAAAGGAAAAGGCGAAGCGGAAAAGACUGCCAAUGAAGAAAAGAUCAGCAGUAUGGAAUCAUUUCACUUUACUCAAAGAUAAUCUAAACAAAUGUAUGUGCAACUAUUGUGGUAAGCAAUAUCAAUGUCAUUCAAGGCUUGAUGGGAUUACAAAUAUGACAAGGCAUAUAAAGACAUGUGAAUCAUACAAGACAUUUCAGGCACAACAAAGUGGAAGUCAACAAAAUUUGACAUCCGAGGGCGGCGAAGAAAAUGCAAGUAAUUUGGUUUUGGGUAAAGGAUGGAGUCAAGACGCGUGUCGAAGGACAAUAACUAAAAUGAUUAUUAUGGGUGAGUUGCCGCUCAGUUUUGUAGACAACAAAAGAUUUAGGCAUUUCUGCAGUGUAGUUAUCCCUCAGUUUGUUAUGCCAUCUCGAAGAACAAUUGGUAGAGAUGUUAUGGAGUUAUUUUUUGAGGAAAAGGCAAUGUUAAAGAGUUUGAUUUGCAACAACAAGCAGCGGGUGUCUCUUACAACUGAUUUUUGGACUUUUGUUCAAAACAUGAGCUACAUGGUGAUUACAGCUCAUUUUAUUGAUAGUGAUUGGUGUUUGAAUAUGAGGAUUAUUAGUUUUAGCGCAAUCGAAGAUCAUAGAGGGAAGUCGAUUGGUAAAAAGAUUGUGGCUUGCCUACAAGAUUGGGGGAUAAAGAGGUUGUUUGCAAUAACUGUUGAUAAUGCCACUGUAAAUGAUAUUGCUGUUGGUUAUAUCACUAUGCAGUUGCUUAGUUGGAAGAAUGAUGAUGCACUUGUGUUGGCGGGACAAUAUAUGCAUGUGCGUUGUUGUGCACAUAUUUUGAAUUUGAUUGUUGUUUCAGGAUUGAGAGAGUUGCAUGCUAGUAUUACCACUAUUCAAAAUGCAGUAAAGUACGUGAGAUCCUUCAGCAUGAGGUUGCGGACAUUUAAACAAUGUGCUGAGCAUGUGAAUUGUCCAAAAGGAAUUGUUGUUUUGGAUUGUCCUACCAGGUGGAAUUCCACUUAUUUGAUGUUGAUGACUGCACUGAAAUUUCAAGCGGCAUUUGAUAGAAUAGCAGAAGUGGAUAAACCUUAUGAGGCAUACUUUGCUGAGAAAGAAAAUAAUGUUAGAAGGGUGGGCCCACCUAGACCGGAUGAUUGGGAGAGUGCUGAACGAAUUGUGAAGUUUUUGAAGGUAUUUUAUGAUGCCACAUUAUUGUUUUCUGCCUCUUUGAGUGUGACUUCUAAUCUUUGUUAUGAUACUAUUGGCUUAAUUGAGAGUUCAUUGACUGCACUGCAAGAAAGUACAGAUCCUUGGGUGUCCUCUAUGGCUUAUAGUAUGAGGGAAAAAUUUAACAAGUAUUGGGAGUCCACAAGAAAGAUAAACAAAAUGUUGAUUAUUGGCAAUGAUAGUUUGAUGGUUGAACAAAUGAUCAAAGCAGUGAAGGACUUGUUGAAUGAGUUUUAUGAUGCAUAUAGUGCAUUCUCCGCUUGUUCCACACCAUCGAUGUAUGGUGAGAGUGGUCUUAGUGGCAGCUAUAGAGGUAUAAGUUCUCCUCAACGUUUUACAACUGAGGCUAAUUUGGUGGAUGUUGCUGGUGGUGAAUAUGAUGAUACUUUUCAAGUAUCUCGCCCUUUCCUUGGAUAUUCCAGGAAGAUUUCUGUUCAGAAUGAGAGUAGAAGAGUAGUAUCUGAGGUGGAAAGGUACUUGAAGGACCCAGUUAAAGAUCCCAGCAAUCUUAAAUUUAAUGUUUUGCUUUGGUGGAGGGUGAAUGGAUCGAGGCAUCCAAUUCUUAAGAAAAUUGCAAGAGAUGUCCUUGUUGUUCCUGUUUCCACAGUGGCAUCUGAGUCUGGCUUUAGCACUGGGCGUCGUAUUAUUGAUGAGUAUAGGAGUUCUUUAACCCCGGCUAUGGUUGAGGCAUUGAUAUGCAUUGAAAAUUGGCUGCAGUCUAAACUUUUUGCCAAUCCCGUCUACAACUUCCAAGAAGAUAUCAAAGAGCAAAUGUUUCAUAUGGAAUUACAAGAAGGUAAUGUUUUUAAUUUUUUAUCAUACAUUAAAUACAUAAUAUAUUUAAAAUGCAUUAUAACUUUAUAUAGAACAUCUACAUGCAGUCAUGUACUUGAGUUAUUAAUUUUUUUUUUGGAUUUUAUAGAACUUAUAAGAUCGCAAGCUUCGACAGUAGAAGCGGUGAGCACCGACAUUGAUGUUAUAGAUGUUUGAAAGGUAACUUUUAAUAUAUAUUAUUAUUCAUAAUUUGAUAUUAUAGUACUAUUAGUAUUUGGUUGUAAUUUAAGCUAUAAUUAUAGUUGUUAUAGUUUUAAAUUUUAAGUCUAAUUUGUAAUUGUUUUAGUUAGACAAGUUGAAGUUGAUAGAAUGUUAUUAUUGUCUAGUAUUAUUAUUAACUUGAUUUGGUGAUGAAUGCCAUAAAAUAAGCAUGAUAUAAUAGAAAUAUAUAAUCAAGUGUGUAUUGAAAAAUUUGGUAAACAUAUAUAUUUAUUUGUAAUUAUAAAUUUAUAAUGAUAUAAUAGAAAUUAGAAAGAUUGUAACACCUCUUUAGCUUAAUUAAAGAUAUGAAUUGGAUUUAGAGUUGGUGUUUGAUGUGUAACCUUAUGAAUUUGGUUUAUUUGCUCAAUUUUUUAUAUGAAUUGAGUUUGUUCAUUUGGAACGUGGCUUAAGGAAAAUAUUUAUUGUACAUUUCCUCAAUCUUUCUCUAGGCAAUCGGCACUUGAACUUGGAGUUCAAAAAUUUGAAUUUAGAACUUGUCAAAGUACUUGCAUGGAGCCAUGGAUGAACCAAGGUGGAGGAACCAAGAAAGCUUAUUUAGUUUUAAUGUUUGAACUUUGAACUUUGUGAUUUAUGUUUCUAAACAAUUUAAUUUUGUGACUUUGUGUGCUUGUGUUUCAAACUUUUAAAGACUAAUAUUUGGAAAUUGUGCUUUGGACUUUGUAAGUUUGUAUUAAUUUUAACUUUUAUUAAGUUUGGAACAUUGGAUUUUAUUGAUUGAGCAAAUAAUAGUCCUAAUUCUACCCUUCAAGCCAAUAGGCAAAUUAUCCUAUUAUAGCAUUUUAACUUUAUUCAUUUGAUUUACUAACAUUUUCUUUUCUUUUUUUAGUUGAAAAUUAGAAAAAAUGACUACAAUUAAGAAAAAUGUCUUAAAACUUUCAUAAAAACUACAAUAAUAGGAAAAAAAGAGCUCAAAAUUGUAUUAACUGAAUUUGACCCGAAUUGACCCAACCCGAAUUGACCCGAUUUCAACCGACCCAAACUGACCCGAUUUGACCCGAACUCAAUCCUACCCAUUUUAAAUCCAACCCGAACAUAACCUGAAUUAUUGACCCGACCCGAUCUAUGUUCGGGUCGGGUCAAUAAUUCGGGUUAUGUUCAGAUUGAUUCUUGUCUAACCCAAACAACCCGAAACCCGAUUGUGUUGACCCGAACCCGACCCGAACCUGAUUUUGCCCACCCCUAUUCAUAAUUAUCUUUAGGUAAGCUUGUCAUAUAUUUAUUGUUGCUUUAUUAAAGCUUCUUUAUUAAAGCUUACUUUAAUUUAUUAUUAUAUUUAUUAAAGUUUGCUUUGUUUAUAAUUACACUUAUUAAAAUUUUCUUUUAUUUAUUAUCAUUUUAUUAAAGUUGCUUUAUUAAAGCUUGCUUUACAUGUAUAUUUGUAUUUAUUUAUUUGUUUGCUUUGUGUUUGUUAAUGCUUGGUUCAAAGCCUCGACUUGAAAGAAAGAAUAUAGAUUUAUUCAACUUCUUUCAUUAUUCAUCUUCUUUCCCUCUUAACUCCAAGUUCUAAAUUCUAAAUGUCUUCUUGCACUAGAAAACUGUGGUUCUAGCAGAACAACUAAAUUCACAAACUUAUUUGUAGUACCAAAUGAAGUUGAAAAAUUCUGAACUUUUUAAGUAAGGUUAAUAUAUUUGUAUAGCACUUCCAAUUUUUGUUUAAUAACUUUCUGGUUAAUAUUUAAUUUUAUAAAAAUCCUAGAACGCAUUCUAUUUUAGUUAAGGCACUAUGAGACAGUUUUGAAUUUGUCAUGAAACAAAUCAUUUUGAAAUUGUUUUUAGUACCAGUUCAUUCUGAAAUUUUUAUGGGAGAUACUUACGGAUGUCCACCAUAAUUCUGCAUAAUGUUAUGUCAUUCUAGUUUUUAAAUUAAGAGUUAAAAUUCAAAGAAUCAGACCUAUUCGAUUUAAGUUAAAGGAUUAGGAUAUUGGAAUAAGUUAUUAAUAGUUACACCUUGAAUCCUUUAAGGUAUCUGAGGCUGAUUGGAAAUUGUUCUGUCAUUUUGUAUUCAUUUUUCAUAUGUAGCAAAUCCGUUAAGGUGUUUAAAUUAAUUAUUUUGUCAAGGUAAGUAACUCUAUUCCUAUUGUACUGGAUAUCUAGUGUACUGGAUGUGUAUGAUAAUUUUGAUAUUUCAAUAUAAUUACAAGUACAUGUUUUUUCUUAGUUCUUCGCAACAAAAUUAAUUUAUGUAAAUGUUUUCAGAUCUAAAAUUUGUGUUAUUUUUAUGGUUUUAACAAAAUAUUAUAAAUGCCUUUAAAUGUGUAAUUUAUUUUGCUAAAUAAUUAUAUUUUUUGAAAUUGUCCAUAAAAUGUUAGAAUGGAAAUUGUUUUGCAAGCCUAAAUCUUUGUUAUGAUCUUUUAGAAAAAUUUAUCUAUGAGAAUUUAUGUGAGAGCCACCUCUGAAGGACAUAUGGGGGCCACCUUUCGAGGGCUAUAAUGUCACGAAAUGCCACAUUCAAUACAAAGUACCACGUGUAAUUUGCUAUAUAUGAAAAAUGAAUAUAAAUGUUUUGGCUCAUUGUCCUUAGUCAUUCUAAUUCUAGUUCUGAUCGUAUUAUACGACACAUAUGUUCUAUACCAGUAUUGGAUUUCUAUUCUGAGUGUGAACAUGAUAUUUUAAUUUUGAUUCUGUUCUGACUGGGUCACCAAGAGUAUAAGUGACGUUAUGUGACAUGAGCGCUCAUGGAAAAAAUAGAGUACCUUGAAGCUCAAAUGAAGCUCUUUUCUGAAAAAUAAAAUCCCAUCAAUGCUCUAGCGCUAGCAGUGUAUUACUCGUCAUUCACCAUGGAGAUUUGGACAGUAGUUCUCCCAGAAGCAUUCACCAUGCCUUAAAUACAGCAACACUCAGGUACCUCGGAUCCCACGGAAUGUACUGAGUUGUAUCAUGACCAGAUGCUAAUUAAAGGAGUGGGCAACAACGCUAUGUGCCAGAUGUUCCCGCAUACCAUCACUGGACUAGCCAAAUCGUGGUUUCGAUCGCUGAAGGCAGGUAGUGUAUCUUCCUUAGACCAGCUCUUAAAAGAUUUUGUUCAUGAGUUUAGUUAUACUUCCUCCCAAGAUAUAGCAUCUUUUAAGCUUGCUUUAUCAAGUACGUAACCCGCUUCCACCAAGAGGUGUUGCGCACCAGUACGUUUGGUCACCAAUAUACUCUUAUUCAUUUUGAAAAGAAUUUGUGUUUGGGGAAGUUAUGACUGUCAUUUCAAAAGUACCGCCCUCUCUCAUAUGGGGAAGCUCGUUCUCGAGCUUUACAACAAAUAGAAAUGGACGAGAGGUGUUACCUAAAGCAGGAUAAAGACAAAGCAGAAGUCGAGAAAAGCAAAGAGAAACCAAAGAAAGCCGAGACACCUUAUACACCCUCUUGAGCACCCCGGGUACACAGCUCACCUCGUCCAACCUCACGUGGGAGAGGGUUGAAUAUUCUUGAUGUACCCUGCGUACCUCAGCAUGUUAAGCCGCCACUGCCAGAAUGAUGGAAAGCGUAACAGAAUCCCUGAUAUGACUCUUUUCAUCCCUUGAAUCAGUCUCCAGAGCAGAUUUUUUACCAGAUAAGAGAUACGGGUAUACUUCGCCCACCCAAGCCAAUUCGAAAGUACCAUAAUAUAAAAUGUAGUUUGAAAUAUUAUGAAUUCCAUGAGGAUUUCGGUCAUAGCACCGCUGAAUGUUUUCACUUGCGGGAAGAAAUUAAGUCCUCAAUCCUGAGCGGGUACCUUCAGGAUUUUGUGGCCAAUAUGCAUGAGGUUAGGAAGUUCUUGAAGUAAGACAAGGGUAAGCAGGUUGCUAAUCUUAGUCCCGAGGUUGAAGUACUCUACAAGUCUAAGAAAAGUGUUUAUGUUCGAAUGAUAGCAGGAGGUUCUACCCUUACGGGGAAAUCUAGACGAGCCAUCAAGCAUUGCAACAAGUCAUCAAUAUUGGAUUGCCUUGGUAAGGAAGUCAACUUCGCUUGUCAAAAUCACUUUAGGGUACCAUAGGUACCCGACUAUCCCAUUCUAUUCUUUUCACAGAAAAAGAUGCGGAAUGUGUCUCAUACCCCUAUGAUGAUACUUUGAUUAUAACGCUAAAAGUCGCCAUGGUACUUUUGUGGACACCGGUAGUUCUGUGGACAUCACCUUUAAAAGUGCCCUAGAUCAGCUGCUAAUCGAAUCGCCAAAGAUCACUCCAUAGGACACACCACUCAUCGAUUUUGCAGGAGACGUGAUCAUCCCCAAGGGUAUCAUCAUUUUGCCCGUUACAAUUGGCAAGGUACCCCACCGGGUUUUUCCAUAUGAUCAACUUCCUUAUUGUUGAUCACCCCAGCGCCUAUAAUAUCAUCUUAGGAAGACCAUUUUUAGCGACAACGAAAGCGGUAAUCUCCAUGCAUUACCUCACCAUGAGGAUUCCAACUGUCGGGGAAAUUAUCACCAUCAAAGUGGAUCAGCAGUCGGAUCGAGGGUGCUAUUCCGUCACCUCGAAGGCUAGUUAUCAAAUUGCCACUAAUAUAUUCCUGAAGGGGUACCCCAUUACUACAAGGCCACUUAUCAGCCUAUCCAAACGAGCAUUUGCUAAACGCCAGAGAGUUGCAUGUAAGAAAGUUCAACGAUCCACAUAUUCCCAACAGCAAUAAGAAGUUAGGCCAAUAAAAGUGGACCUAGUAGCUCCUAGGGCACAUGUAGUCCUAAUUCAGCAUCAAUUGGAGAGGUGGAGGUACCCUUAGAUCCGCGGAUGCUGAAAGAUGAAAAGCGAGGAGUACGAGUUGAGGAUCUUGUGCCUGUUUCGAUCUGCAAUAAUGACCCAACCAAGAUGGUCAAAGUUGGCUCCAACAUCCCUCACUAACAUCGGGGGAAACUUGUUGAAUUUUUAAAGGAAAAAUGUUAUGUGUUCGCUGGUCUCACGCGGAUAUACCAGGUAUCCCACCUUUUAUUGCCUGCCACAAGCUCAAUGUCGAUCCUUAUUAUAGGCCUGUCAAGCAAAACCAUCAAACUUUCAACCAGGAACGCUAUGACGCCAUUGAACAAGAAGUGGACCUAUUACUAGUAGGCGGGUUCAUUAGGGAGGUGAUAUACCCCGACUGGGUGUCGAAUGUUGUCUUAGUCAAGAAGUCCAAUGGGAAAUGGCGCAUGUGUGUAAAUUUCAUAGAUUUAAACAAAUCAUGCCCAAGGAUAGCUUCCCGCUUCCCCAAGUAAACUAGCUGGUCGAUGCUACGGCGGGACAUGAGAUGUUUAGUUUCAUGGAUGCUUUCUCUAGAAACAACUAAAUUCUGAUGUACGAGCCCGAUCAAGACAAAACGGCCUUCAUCACCAACCGUGGAUUGUACUACUACAAGGUUAUGCCGUUUGGUUUGAAGAACGCUAGCGCCACUUAUCAGCGUUUGGUGAAUAAGGUCUUCAAGCAGCAGAUCGAGCACACCAUGGAGGUAUACAUCGAUGACAUGAUAACAAAGUCGGCGUACGCCAUUGAACACGCCGGGCACCUCAGAGACACCUUUGAUGUUUUAAGAAAGCAUCAGAUGCUCCUAAAUCUUGGAAAAUGUGCAUUCGAGAUAUCUUUGGGUAAAUUCCUGGGAUUCAUGGUGCAAUAGCGGGAAAUUGAGGCUAAUCCCGAUAAAAUCCUUGUGGUUCUUGAGAUGAAGUCACCAAGUACCAUUAAAGAAGUUCAAAGUUUAGUCAGUCGUGUGGCCGCCUUAAGUCGUUUAACUCUAAGGCCACCGAUCGUUGUAAGCCAUUUUUCAAAGCUUUGAAAGCGGGGAAGAGACUCCAAUGGAUUGUCGAGUGCGAAGAGGCUUUUCAGAAGCUAAAAGAGUACCUCGUUAAUUCACCUUUGCUCGCCAAACCUAAACCAAGAGAAGCGAUUCUAUUGUACCUCGUCGUUUCUGAGCACGUCACUAGCUCCGUUUUACUAAGAGAAGACGAAAAUGGGGUACAACGACCUAUAUAUUAUACUAGUAGGGAAAUGGUUGACGUGGAAAAGGGGUAUCCCACCACAGAAAAAUUAGUUUUGGCUUUAGUUAUCUCUGCAAGGAAACUCCGGCCAUAUUUUCAGGCCCACACCAUUGCUUUUGUUACAAAUCUUCCCCUUCGACAAAUCCUCCAAAAGUUGGACAUGUCCGGAAGACUUCUUCACUGGUCUUUUAAAUUGAGUGAGUUCGACAUUAUUUUCAAGCCACGUUCAGCUAUUAAAGCCCAAGCCAUUGCUGAUUUCAUUGCGGAAUUCGCUAAUGACUCUGAGGGUGAAGGGAUCCCGGGGUACUCGGACGAAACUACACCAGCCAAUGAGGAAGAACAUGUUUGGGAAUUUUACGUGGAUGGUUCUUCCAACUCACAUGGAAGUGGUGCGAGAAUAAUAAUCCUCGAUCCGGGUAAAGUGAAAUUAUGCUAUGCCUUGCAAUUUGAAUUCAAGGCCUCAAACAACGAGGCCGAGUAUGAAGCUAUAAUAGCGGGGUUAAAAAUGUUGAUGGUCUUGGGUGCAAAAAGGGUCCACAUCAAAAGUGACUCUCAAUUGGUGAUCGGUCAAAUCACUUCGGAAUAUCAGGCUAAGAAAUAAAAUAUGAAGGGGUACCUCGAGAAAACCAGAGAAUUGAUGUCUCAAUUUGCUGAGGUUAAAGUGGAAAAAGUUCCAUAGAUAGAAAAUUGUAAAGCUGACAAUCUCGCUAAAAUGGCUUCAUUCGGCACAACUUAGUCUGUUGGUUCUAUCACUGCUGAGUACAUACCUACACCUAGUAUUAAUCUACCUGAGCCAGAAGAAGUAGAGUCAAUAACUGUUGGGGUACCUUAGAUGGAACCAAUCAUAAGGUAUCUCAAGAAUGGAGAUCUGCCCUCAAACAAGAAUGAAGUAAGAAGGCUGAAGUACAAAGCUGCACGAUAUUGUCUCAUCGAGGAUACCUUAUACAGAAGAGGGUUUACCCUCCCUUACCUAAAGUGCUUAGGAUAUGAGCAGGCCGAAUAUGUCAUGAGAGAGAUAUACGAAGGAAUUUGCGGUAUCCACUAUAAAGCACAAUCAUGGGCACAAAAGGCCCUUUGUCAAGGGUUUUAUUGGCCUACGAUACGGGAGGAUUCUAAAAAUAUGGUCAAGAGUUGUGACAAGUGCCAGAGAUUUACCAAGGUACCUCACCUUCCAUCAGAAAAGUUAACGAUCAUGUCUUCUUCGUGGCCUUUUACUGUUUGGGGUGUAGAUCUCAUUGGCCCACUGCCAACCAGUAGAGGGCAAACUAAAUAUACAAUUGUAGCCGUUGACUGUUUCACAGGUGUGUUAUUUCAAAUUCUUUUGUCAAGGUAAGUAACUUCAUUCUUAAUGUACUAGAUAUAUAUAUAUAUAUAUAUAUAUAUAUAUAAUUAUUUUGAUAUUAUUAUAAGUAUAAAUGUUCUUAUACUACUUAAAGGAUCAAUUGAUUUUGAUAACAAAAUUAGUUUUAUGUAAAUGUUUUUAAACCUAAAUUCUUUUUAACAAAGUAUUUUAUAAAUGCUUUUUAAUAGAUAAAUUAUUUUAUGACAUAACUACCUUUUGUGAUUUUAUCUUUAAAAUGUUAUGCAAGCCUAAAUUGUUGUUAUGAACAUUUAUGAAACUAAUACGAAUGUUUUGUGCCCAUUUAUGAUUUUAAUUAUCUAUGAUUGUACGGGGGCCACCUCUUGAGGGCCAAAGCAUCGCAAAGUGCCACAUAUAGUGCAAAGUGCCACGUCAUUAUGUUUUGGCUCAUUGUCCGUAGUUAUUCCGAUUCUAAUUCUAACGUAUUAUACGAUAUAUGUUUGUUCUGGACCAGUACUGGGUUUAUGUUCUGAGUGUGCACAUGAUUUUUUAAUUCUGAUUAUGUUUAUGGCUGGGUCACCGAGACUAUAGGUGACACUAUGUGAUAUGAGCUAACCUUUUGUUUUUCUGUGUAUGUGAUAUAUGAUUUGCUUUUGUAAGUAACCAUGAUUUUGAUAUUCUGAAUUACUAUGAAUUUAUGUUACUUUAUAGUGAUAUGUUAUUUUAUAAAAUUUAUGAAUUAUGAUAUAUGUUUUACUAAAAAGAAGGCUUGCAAUAUUUUUGGUAUCGGUAGGUCUAGUGUGUUAGGAAUGGUUUUACUUACCGAGUUAACAGCUCAUCCCUCAUCACUAAUUUUUGCAGAUUAAGUUUCUUUUGAGAGGUGUGCUUAGCUUUGGAGUUAGAGAUUUCAUUUUCGUUUGCUAUUUGAAUAAGAAGAGAAACAUAUUCAUGUUUCUUUUUAGUUUAUUUCUGUUAUGAACUUCUAAUUUGGAGUUUGAGACUUUUUUUAUUGUUAUAUUUUGGGAGAGAUUAUUUAGUGUGAGACGUAUGAAUUUGUGAAUUUAUUUAAAUAAGAAUUUGAGGUAUUUCAGUUUAGAAUUUAUGAAUAAGGAUUACGAUUUGUAAAUAACCUCAUUCUGCACGUGCUCCGCACGUGUUAGAUUUGGGGUGUUACACCAGUAGUUGUGGUUGCAAAAUGUUACAUCCAUCGAGUUUAUGGGAGAUUAAAUACAUCUAAGCAAGCAUUAAUAAUUACGAGCUGAUAAUACAAAUAUAAAUAUAAAAUAUGAUUGACAUGUUGACAGCAACGGCGAAUAUAUAUAAUAAUAACACCAAUCGUGUUGAUGGGAGAUUAUUUGUCAAAAUUAUUUUUAAUUCUUAUUUUUUAUUCCUGUGGCUUGAAAAGCGACUCUAUGUUGAUCAUUCAUUUAUUUUCUAAUUCGUAUUUUAUAGAUAUAGAUUUUUAUUUAAAGCUACCAUCAUUUUGCAUUGGAAAGUAAAGGGAGCAAAAUUAGUUUAUAAAGGUAGGUCUAUAAUAAUAAACCCAUAAGGAGGAAGCUCAAGAACGCGAGACCCAACACAACUGAGUAGCCUCAUCUAAGAAUCUUGUAAUUUGGUUGUUAUACAUUGAGGAGUUCAAACACCAGGUAUUUAACUAUUUUUUUCAAUUAACCAUUGAUCACUCACCUCAAUUUUUACUCAUUAAUCUGCAUAGCUCACUAUAAGGUAAUGCUAGUUCAGAAAAUAUAUUAAAAUAGAAGUCCUGUACAUAGAAUAUUUCAAAAUGUUGCAAGUUUUAUAAAACACAUGUAGAUCAACAUAUUCUUCUAUCGUAAGAGAUUUUAUGUAACCAUUGAACCAAUGAACACUCACAAAUUAAUUGCUUUAUAUGUGAGCUGGAUUAAUUUGAACUACAGACCUCUUCUUCCAUAAGAGAUUAUUUUAUCCAUUUAACCAACCGUCAAACACCCACGAAAAUUAAUUGAGGAUGAAAUGAGAUAGCCUACAAGCUACGGCAACAAAUUGCCUAGAUAUUUACUGACCAAAUCGAAUUCUACGAGUAUUAAUUUCUAUUAUCCAGAUGGCAUUAAAUUAAACCAUAUUCACCAAAUUACAGAACAAACAUCACAAAAUAAAUCAUCUCCUACCUAAAUUGUUUCUCAACUGUCACUCUUUGCCUUAUAUAUUGAAAUUAAUUUCUCAAGAAACGCCUCACAAUUUUUUUACCUGCAGAUUGACUCCAUCUUCUGGCACAGUAAUAAAGCUAUAAAUAGGUGAAUGAGCAUACUCGGAAGAAAGUAAGAAAUUAAGACAAAUUAGCCUGCAUGAGAGCAAGUAGUAUCUUAAGCUCAACCAUGGCCAAAUUUUGUAUUAGACGCACUCGAGGACCAAAUACAACCGGGAUGUCUUACAAUUUAAUUCUAAGUGCUAUGGUUGCCCGUGUAGGUGGAGUAUGGUGGAUCUCUAUGUUGAGAAUCAUGGCUGCUGUAAAGGAUAAGGUGAACUAGUUUUAUAGUCAAGGUAGAACUCUACCAUUCAAGUAAGUGGAGAUUUUUUUAAUAAAAGUGACUUGAAAAAAGAACUAACAAAUUUAUUCAAUUGCAGCAAAAGUUGAAAAAAGAACUAACAAAUUUACACGCACUUGACUUGAAGUUUUAAUUUCUUUGGAAGUUUGCAUGAGCAUCAAGUAAUGGCAUGAAUUUUAUAUAAAUUAAUGCAUGAAAGUCAAGAAUUCUUUUACGUGCAUGGACUUUCAUUGAUUUCGUAUUGGUACUUUUGUUGAACACGUGGCUAAUGUUGAAAUAAAAGGGAAAUUAAAACUUUUGUCCCUGAGGAAAGAUGAAAUAAAAGGGAAAUGUUGAAAUAAUUGUCUCUGAGGCCUGUAAUUAAAGUUAAAAAAUUUAUGUUACACCAUCACUAUUGAUUACAGAGGGUUCAGAAAUAUUAAAAUCUAGAGCAAAAUACUUCAAUGACUAGAGGUUUGAUUCUAAACUUCCGUUCUUAAUUUUUUAUGGACAUAUUAUGUUAUACUUGCAUAAGAAAAUCAUACUUAAGUUUUCUUACAACUUUAAUUUCAGUUAUUGCUUGGACUAGCUCUAAAAUAUUAGGGACUUUAGGCGCAUUUGUUUUAUGAGGCCUGCUUAUAUUUAAUAGUUUUAAUACUCAAAACAUAAAAAAAAAUUAAAAUUUAAUCAAUUUUUAAUUAUAUAUUGAAUAUCAACAAUCAAUAAGAUGGUAAGAAAUUUCAAAAAAGAACAGUAAUUAAAAAAAAAUUAAUUCCCUCCGACUAUUAUUUCAAGAAAUUAUUUUUUUUUUCCUUCAAAAGUGAACAAAUAAAUGUAAUAGCUUUCAUUAAAGAGAAGAGUGGAAGAAAUUUUUUAAUAUUAAAUAAUCAAGUUUUUUUUAAACAAAUAAAGAAUUUUUUAAUAUUUUUCUUGAAAAACUAAUAAUGAAUUAAUAAUUAAUACUAUUAAUUAUAGCUCUUUAAUGUUAAGAUUAUCAAAUAUAAAAUUUGUGUAAAAAAAUCUUAAGUGCAAGAUAAUUAUCAAUUAAAAUAUGCCUAAAAAUAGGCUUUUUUAUCAUAAGUUAAAAAAAAUAAUUUGAUUAUAUUAAAGAAAUACAAAAAAAAAAAAAAUCUUCUAACAUAUAAGGACUCGGCGGCCACGAUGUGAAGCCUUAGACAAUUACUUAAUUCACCUAUAUUUAAAGCCGUCCCUAGUUAUUGCAGAAGUGGGCACGUUGAUGUCAGUCUAUUCAAUCAUGUCAUCCGCUACGAAGAAUUAAUCGCGUAAUUAAAAAGCUUGAUAGAGUUGAGAAUUCAACGUGCAAACCCCAAUUGAAGCUUAAGUUGGGGAAUCCCAACCUGAAAUGGCUCUGGUAUCAGUCUUGAUGAAGCAACUGCUGCAGCCUUUUAUGGGCAUAUCAGAAAUUUACAACCCUCCUCUGUCCAUCUUUCUUCUUCUUCUUAUCCUCUUGCUCACACUUGUGCAGUUGCUGAAAAUCACCAGACGUAGUAGUAACCAUCUCAACUUACCUCCAUCCCCACCAAAGCUCCCCAUUCUCGGCAACCUUCACCAGCUUCUGGGAACUCUCCCUCAUCGCUCUCUCAAAGCUCUUUCGGAGAGGUACGGCCCUUUGAUGUUCGUUUACUUUGGCAAUUCUCCAACCUUUGUGGUUUCAUCGGCUGAGUUGGCUGGUGAGAUGUUUAAAAAUCAUGACAUUGUGAUCUCGAACCGGCCCAAAACCACACCUGCUAACAUCCUCGUAUAUGAAUGCCAAGAUAUCACGUUCUCUAAUUACGGCGAGUACUGGAGACAAGCUCGGAAGAUUUGCAUUCUUCAACUCUUGAGUGUGCGAAGAGUGCAAUCAUUUCAGUAUGUUAGAGAUGAUGAAGUUUCAAGUUUGGUAACUAAAAUUCGCCUCUCGUGUCUUAAUAAAGGAGGUCCUCUUAAUUUAACAGAGAUGCUACUGACUGCUUCCAGCAAUAUAGUUUCCCUCUGCGUUCUUGGGAAGAAAGCUGAUGAAGAAGAAGAAAAUAUUGGAGACAGCAAUAAGCUGGGAGAGUUGUCAAGAAGGCUGGAAGAGCAGCUUGCUGCCUUUUGUAUGGGAGAUAUGUUUCCAUCUUUGGCAUGGUUAGAUAUUCUCUCGGGAUUCAUUGGUCGUCUCAACGCAACUGCUAGAGCAUUUGACGCUUUGCUUGAUCAGGUGAUUGAAGAGCACACGAACAAGGUAUCAAAAGGAAGUGGGCAUGAUGAUGACCAAUCUGAUAAAAAAUACUUUGUGGAUAUACUCCUCCAACUUCGAAAGGAUGGCAUGCUUGGGGCAGAGCUCUCUCAGGACAAUCUUAAAGCAAUUAUCCUUGUCUGUCCUUCCUCUCAACCAGCUAGUCUUAAUUAUUUUAAUUAUUAGCUCUCUCCUUUUCAAAAAAAAGAAAAAAUUAUUAGCUCUCUCUAUAUUUUUACAUCUUUUACAUACAUCAUGCACGCAAAAGCGCGCUCUUGCAUAUACAUAAACAUACAUCAAUACUAAAGGUUUUUCAUGUUUCACAUUCUCAGGACAUGUUUGUAGCAGGAACUGAGACUACUGCAACAACACUAGAGUGGGCAAUGGCAGAGCUAGUGAAAAAUCCAACUAGUAUGAACAGAGUUCGAGAAGAGGUUAGAAGUGUGGCAAAAGGGAAAUUAAAUAUAGACAUGAAGGAAAUUGAGAAGAUGGACUAUUUGAAAUGUGUUGUCAAAGAAACUCUGAGGUUACAUCCACCAGUUCCUCUCUUGGUUCCGCGAGAAAUGGCAGAGAGUAUCAAAUGGAGAGGUUAUGAUAUUCCUGCAAAAACUAGAGUGAUUGUAAAUGCAUGGGCAAUUCAAACAGAUCCCCAAGUUUGGGACAGGCCAGAAGAUUUCUUGCCAGACAGGUUUUUCGCUAACCCGGUGGAUUGUAAAGGCCGAGACUUCCAAUUUAUCCCCUUUGGUGCUGGAAGAAGAGGAUGCCCAGGGGUAUCAUUUGCGUUAGCUGCAGUUGAGUAUGUGAUGGCCAACCUUUUGUACUGGUUUGAUUGGAAUUUGCCUCUUGGUGAAGUUGAGGAGAAUUUGGACAUGUCUGAAGUUAAUGGGCUAGUGGUUCAUAAGAAAUUACCUCUUCAUCUUGUGCCAACGCUAUACUCCCCUUGCUCUUAAUCUUGAUAUGUCUAGAAAAAUAUCCAUUGUACUUAUAUUCUAAUCAUGAUUAUCCUCUUCCAAUUCCCUCUUGUGAAAAAUUGUACCAGUGUUGUCUAUUUUCUUCUAUGUUCAUGGACACCUUGAGGAGCAAGUUAUUACCAAUAAAAUUUUAUCAUCUGUCCAUAUCAUAUUGGUCCUCUGCUUGAUCUUUUCCAUAAAUUCCAUCAAUCGGUUUAGAUUUAGAGAAAUACAAAAAGUUAACAAUUACCAAUGGUGCUAGUAGUCGUGGUUGCAAAAUAUUAUAUCCAUCGAGUUGAUAGGAGAUUAAUUACAACUAAUCAAGAACAAAUAAUUAUGAAGCUGAAAAAAAUAUACAACCAUGAUUGACAUGUUGACAGCAACGGCGAAUAUAUAUAAUAGUAACACCAAUCGUGUUGAUGGGAGACUAUUUGUGAAAAUUGUUUUUUCAUUCAUAUUUUAUAUUCUUGUGGCUUGAAAGCGACUCGCUUGAAAGCGACUCUAUGUCGAUCAUUUAUUUAUUUUCUAGUUCUUAUUUUAUGUAUACAGGUUGUUAUUUCAAAAUUCCACAAUUUUGCAUUGGAAAGGAAAGAUAGCAAAAUGUGGUUUAUAGAGUAACGCGUAUGUCUAUAACAAUAAAACCCAUAAGGAGGAAGCUCAAGCAUGCAAGACCAAACCCAAAUGAGUAGCCUCAUCUAAGAACCUUGUAAUUGGGUUAUCUUACAUAGAUGACUCCAAGAACCAGGUAUUUAACUUUUUUUUUUUCCAAUUAACUGCCGAUCACUCACCUGAAUUUUUACUCAAUAAUCUGCAUAACUCACAUAAGGUGAUGCUUGUCUAGAAAAUAUUUUUAAAUGGAAGUCCUGUAAGUAGAAUAUUUCAAAAUUUGCAAGUUUCCUAAAACACAAGUACAUCAACAUAUUAUUCUAUCAUAAAGAGUUUUUCUGCACCCUUUGAACCAAUUAACACUAAAAAAUUAAUUGCUUUACAAGUGAGCUAGAUUAAUUUGAACUUCAGACCUCUUCUUCCAUAAGAGAUUCUAUCAGUUGAACCACCAAUCCAACACCCACACAAAUUAAUUGAAGAUAAUGAGAUAGCCCACAGGCUACAGCAACAAAUUACCUAGAUAUUUACUGAACAAAUGGAAUUCUACAAAGUGUUAAUUUCUACUACACAGAUGGCAUUAAAUUAAACCAUAUACACCAAAUUAGAGAACAAAAUUCACAAAAAUAAAUCAUCUCCUCUCCAAACUGUUUCCCAAAUGUCACUCUCUGCCUUACAUGUUGAAAUUAAUUUCUCAAGAAACACCUGACAAAUUUCUUACCUGCAGAUUGACUCCAAGUAGUGGGACAAUAAUGAAGCUAUAAACAGGUGAGUGAACAUACUCUAGAGAAAAUGAGAAAUUAAUGUUGUGGUUACAAAUUGAUAAUAGAAUGGACUGGAAUCAGAAUGAUAAUUGAAAUAAAAAAGGAGAAUGGAAAUCAUAAUAGAUUACUAUAAGUUAUUAAAAUGACCUUAAUUUAUUAUUGUCGCCGUCAUCGUUGUCAUCAUCAUCAUUGUUAUUAUUAAUUAAUUAAUUAAUUAAUUAUUAUUAAUAAUAAUAUUGUCGUCGUCGUUGUCAUUAUCAUUAUUAUCGUCAUUAAUUUUAUUAUCAUUAAUUAAUAAUAUUAUUAUUAUGUUUAAAAUUAUCACUAUUAAUUAUUCGUUUUAUUACCAUUAGUCAAUAGUACUCGUAUUAUUACAAUUAUUAUUAUUAUUAUUAACAACAAUUACAAAAAUUAGAAAAAUAACAAUAACAAUAAUGUAAUAUAAUAAAAUUAAUUGAGGAUAAAAGUAGAAUUAUGAAAUUGGGAUGAGGGUAAAAUGGGGACGAGCUCAAGGGAUGGGAACUUGAUUCCCACCCUGCUCCCCCCACAUAGGAAUAAAGUUCCCAUUCCUUAAUCCAAAAAACACGUGGGCCUCACAUUUUUCAUUCUUAUUCCCACUUCUAUUUUAGUAAGUAAAUAUUAUCAAUCAUUUUCAUUCCAAAUUCUGAUUCCCUAAUCCAAGAAGUAAAUGCGCCAUAAGCGAAAUUAGACAGCACGAGAGCAAGUGGUAUCUUAAGUUCAAUCAUGGCCAAAUUUUGUCUCAGACACGCUCGAGGACCAAAUCCAACUAGCAUGUCUUAUAGUUUAAUUCUAAAUGGUAUGAGUACCCAAGUAGGUGGACUAUAGUGAUUCUCUAUGUUGAGAACCAUGGCUGCUGUAAAGGAUAAGGCGAACUGAUUUAUUGUCAAGGUGGAGUUACUACUAUUCAAAUCAAAGUGGAGACUUUUUGAAUAAAAGUAACAUGAAUAGUUUAAUAUUCAUUUGUAGUAAAGUUGAGAAAAGGAACUAACAAAUUUGCAUGCAUUCCUUGGAAGUUUUAGUUUAUUUUGAAGUUUGCAUGGGCAUUAGAUAUUGGCAUGAAUUUUUUUAACUUUUAUAGCAUGCAAAUAAACGCAUGAAUGCCAAUAACUCUUUACAUGCAUUAACUUUCAUGCAUUCAUUCACAUACCAUAAAAGUAAAAAAAUUCAUGCUAACAUUUAGUGCCCAUGCAAUCUUCCAAAGAAACUAAAACUUUCAGUAGAAAGCAUGCAAAUUUGUUAGCUCCUUUCAAUUUUUUUUUAACAUUUACUGCAAAUGAAUAUUAAAUCAUUCAAGUCACUUGUAUUCAGCAGCACGUACACAUGUGGGUGCUUGCAAGCAACUGUUAUUCCGAAUUCGUCUACAGUAGCUACCAACAAUUUUCUAAUUUCCUUAAGCAUUAAAAAUAAUAUUAACAGGAAUAUCAAUUAAAAAAUGCAAAAUCAGAUUGGAAGCUUACCAAGAUGACCCUACUUUGCUGCCGCAUGAAAUGAAUCAUAUCCAUUCCUGGCUGCAAUAGAGGUAGUUUCAAGGUUCAUAUGUUGAAGCAUCUCUUCAACCAUCUGCCACUCUCUGCAGCCACAUAAAGGGGAGUCUGGCCUUCUUGAUUUUGUUUCGACAACAACUCCUUAGCUUCACUAGAAUCACAACCCUGCAAAAUCUCUGUAACUUUACUUAAAUUCCCAGUUCGAGCUGGCGAGUGUAGCUGCAAGUGACUUCUUUUUCCUGGCAAAUCCUUAUUCUUCUUCCUCUGACCACCACCUAUAAAACUCAGCUGUCUCUCCGUCACUAUGCGAAAACUCUUCUGUUCUCCAUGAAACUGCAAAAACUCCUGUUUUUCCAUCACAAGUACUCAGCUGUUUAUCAAUAGUUACACCAUGAAAACUCUGCUGUUUCUCUAUCACUCCACGAGCACCGGGCACUUUAUUAGUGUGCACACCAUGAAAACACUGCUGUUCUUCCAUAACCCUUUGAAUACUAGGCUGUUUUUCAAAGGUGACACUGAAAAUACUUUGCUGUUUCUCCAUUAUCAUGGACAGAACUAGACUUAAUACCCAAAACUAGCUACAAAUAUCACUGACAUUCAGCAUCCAAAUCCUUGACGUACAAAAAAUUGAAACAUCAAACCUUGAAUUUCAAAAAACCCAGAAAUCAUUUCUUUUCCUCCACAAUCAUCCACAAAGCUUCACACAGAUUGAUAUCAAAAUCAAAUAAUUAACUUCCUUGCAAUCACAACUACGAUUUCCUGUACAAUUUCAAGUCUCUAAUUCAAGAACCAAAUUUUACCCAUUUCAGCAAACAUACCAAAAACCUACUCAUAUAGCAAUAUAUAUCAACAACGAUCCAGGCUCAAAAUCAAACCAAAAAUAAAUAAAUAAAUAGAACCUUGGAAUUGGAUACCUUGCUUUUUGAGCUAACACUCAAGUCUUUGUGGUUACCGGGAAAAUAAAUAAAAAUUGAAAGUAAACGAACUCAAAUCAGCAAUCCACUAAAUUGAAGAACCCAGAAACAGAUUUGUAAAUUUCAAAAGAUCAUAACCUCAAUCAAACCCUCAGUUCUUUUGACCGCUGGGGCGUACCUUAGAGUGAAGACAACUGACAUACAACAAGCACUUCACAAUUUAAACCGCGACCAGACUACCAGUUGCUUGUGACGUUAUUUUAUUUUAUAAUUUUCAACAAUUAAGAUGCUUUAUCUUUUUAAUUUUAUUUACUUUUAUAUUCAUUUUGGGCCACUAAGCAAGUUGCAUUAUCUGAAACUUGCUGAAAAUAAAACAGAUCCUGUCUUUUAUUAUUUUAUUUAUUUUGUCAGGUAAAUUUUGCUCCUCAAUGUAUAUCAUAGAAAAAUUUGUGUGCUGACAUGGUUGGCCUACUCAUCAGGGACCCACCAUUGGGUAAGUUUAUUAAUUUUUUCAUUUAAUUUUUGGAUAUCAUUAUCGAACCAUUAAAAAUACCAUUAUAUUAUAUUAUAUAAUUUGUAUUAUAUUAAUUAAAUAUAUAUUAUAUUAUAUUGUAUUCAUUAGUACUGUAUUAAAAUAAUAUUGUAUAAUAUUUAAUUUUACAUUAUAUUUUAUUGAUUUUUAAUUAUAUUAUGAUUGGUGUUGUACUGUACUGAAUUAAUUUUUUUAUUAUUAAUUUUUAUUAUAAAUUUAAAAAAAUCUAUUAGUACUUAGAAAAAAUACUAAAUAUAAAAUUCUUUAAAUUUAAAAAUUUAACAUUAUUUUUUUAGUAUAAAUAUUUAAAAAAAAUCAUAAUUCUUUAUAAAAAUUGAAAUUUAUGGCCUUAAAUUUUGGGCAGCAUAACAUUUAUUUUUUUUUACCUUUUUACAAAUAUAUAACCUGUGAAAUAAAAAUUGAAGUAAAUAAUUUAAUUAAAUAACCUUUAAAUAAUAUCAAAACAUAAAUAAAAUACAUCCAAUCGUAUUUUUUAAUUUCAUAAAUUCAAAUUCCACUAUUACUUAAUCCUUCAAAGCUAGCAACUUAUGCAUUUGUCACUUUCAGUCUCAAAGAAUUCAAAACCUCCAUUACUCUCACAUACCCAACAGACGAAUGCUCACAAAAACUAAAUGAUUUGAGAAAAACGCACCUGGAAUCUACAAACUAAUCAAUAUGUAUAUGAAAUUCAAGAUGUUAAAAGCCCAGCACUGGCACACUGUCUAGUGUCAAUCAUGCUUCCUGGACCUCAAAAGGCAUAUCAAUAUUGUUGCAGCUAAGUAAUGCUCAGUUAACAUAUCAAUAUUCUUGCAGCUACGCAUCAGAUGAACACUCAUUUGGAGCCCAUUCCCAUAACACAUCCUCAAAAGCAUAUGACUUUGCAUUGGAAAAUAUCUCUUGUUUCUAAUAUGAAAUGAAAAUUAAAAACAAACGUAUUUGCUAUAGCAGUUCCUUUGCAAAAACAAAAUUAAUGAGGAUGAAAUACAUCCAAAUAAGCUGACCAUGUCUGCAAAUCUUUGCAAAAAGUAAGAAAACAGCAACAAAACCAAAAAAGUGAAACCUUUAAGAAUUAAGAUCGUUGACGACAUCAUAAGGAAUGGGAUCGACAGUUUCCAAUGUUGCACCUUCUACCAUAAAACUUAGUGACUACAUCUUUAUACUGAUGACUUCACCUCUUGCCUUAGCUUCAGUCUUGAGUUCCUCUGCUUGAACUCGUUAGUAUCAGUAUACGUUGAAGUUUGAACAUGCUCCAUAGGAACACGAAUCCUCUUCUUAAUGAUUUCUGUUACUAACCUGAAUAUAUGCAUAUAUUGAACAAAAUUCAGUAUUCUAUCAUCAAAAAAUGCAUAUGCAGGCACUUAUAAUCAAUUCAAGCAAGUUAGAAGUCAAUCCCAUAUGUUCAAUUAUGAUGGAGAAGACAAUUAUAACAACACAAAUUCAAAAAACUUCAAAUUGCUUGAUUAUAUUCAUUAUAGUUGUUUAUGAUUCCGAAGAUAAAUAUUGAUUCAUGAUUACUAAAAUAAAUGAACUCACAAAAUUGAAUGACUUGAUUUAAGGAUCAUAGAUGAUUUAGCAUUAUGUCUUCUUCUGACAAUUGCAUCUAUCAAUGGAUUAGAAAAGUUGUUAAAUUUUGGAUUUUUAAGGAUUUCUCAAAACUUACGCUGUAUGUGAUGUCGCAACUUUGUUCAAUCAAUAAUUAACAAUGAAAGUUUAUUUACUAUGCUUUAACACUUCUGCCACAUUCGUCGGUGUACGAAUUGCAAGAAAGAUUGCUCCUCAGAUCCAUCUGAGUUUGGAGUGUAAUACUGCAAGUGAUACAAGACCUAUAGAAAACUCGAAAAGCUCAAAUUUGAAAAGAAUCCUUAAUUCAUAUUUGGUAAUUAACUAAAAACAGUUACAGUAAUUACCAAGUAGUUAGAAAACUCCAUGCUUUUAUAGCCAGCUAUAGAAAGCUUUUAAAUAAUUAAGAAAUAAAAACCAAUUUUUUUCAUUAAUACCGAACAGUUUAUUAUAGGUUUGAGCUACUAAUAAUGCUCAUGAGCUAUUACAUUACUAUCGAUGAAAUUUCCAAAACAGAGGAAAAGGAAAGAGCAAUCAGACAUGCAAAUUAAAUUGGCGGAAAUCUUAUCUUUAAAUUGGAUAUCAUGUAACAAAAUCAGCAUGGAGCUACUAGUAAUGCUCAUAUUCUAUUACAUCACUAUUGAAAGAAAUUUCAAAAACAAGAAAAUGAAAGAGCAAUCAAACGUGCCAAUUGAAUUGGUGGAAACCUUAUCUUUAAAUGUGAUCUCAUAGGCAUGUCAUCUGCUACAAGGGAUUAGUUCCUUCAUUGAAAAGCUUGAUAGAGUUGAGAAUUCAACGAGCAAACCCCAAUUGAAGCUUAAUUUGGGGAAUCCCAACCUGAAAUGGCUGCGGUAUCAGUCCUGAUGAAGCGACUGCUGCAGCCUUUUAUGGGCAUAUCAGAAAUUUACAACCCCGCUCUGUCCACCUUUCUUCUUCUUCUUAUCCUCUUGCUCACACUUGUACAGUUGCUGAAAAUCACCAGACGUAGUAGUAACCAUCUCAACUUACCUCCAUCCCCACCAAAGCUCCCCAUUCUCGGCAACCUUCACCAGCUUCUGGGAACUCUCCCUCAUCGCUCUCUCAAAGCUCUUUCGGAGCGGUACGGCCCUUUGAUGUUCGUUUACUUUGGCAAUUCUCCAACCCUUGUGGUUUCAUCGGCUGAGUUGGCUUGUGAAAUGUUUAAAACUCAUGAUAUUGUGAUCUCGAACCGGCCCAAAACCACACCUGCUAACAUCCUCCUAUAUGAAUGCCAAGGUAUCGGGUUCUCUAAUUACGGCGAGUACUGGAGACAAGUUCGGAAGAUUUGUGUUCUUCAACUCUUGAGUGUGAGAAGAGUGCAAUCAUUUCAGCAUGUUAGAGAUGAUGAAGUUUCAAGUUUGAUCACACUAAAAUUCGCCUCUCAUGUUUUAAUAAAGGAGGUCCUCUUAAUUUAUCAGAGAUGCUACUUACUGCUUCCAGCAAUAUAGUUUCCCUCUGCGUUCUUGGGAGGAAAGCUGAUGCAGAAGAAGAAAAUACUGGUCAGAGCAAUAAGUUUGGUGAGUUAUCAAGAAGGCUGGAAGAGCAACUUGCUGCCUUUUGUGUAGGAGAUACGUUUCCAUCUUUGGGGUGGUUAGAUGUUCUCUCGGGACUCAUUGGUCGUCUCAACGCAACUGCUAGAGCAAUAGACGCUUUGCUUGAUCGGGUGAUUGAAGAGCACACGAACAGGGCAUCAUCAGGAAGUGAUGAUGAUGAUGACCAAUCUAAUAAAAAAGACUUCGUGGAUAUACUCCUCCAACUUCGAAAGGAUGGCAUGCUUGGAGCAGAGCUCUCUCAGGACAAUCUUAAAGCAGUUAUUCUGGUCUAACCUUCCUCUUGACUAGCUAGCAUUAAUUAUUAUAAUUAUUAGCUCUCUCUAUAGAUAUUUUACAUCUUUUACACACUUCACGCACGCAAAAGCGCACCCUUGCAUAUCCACAUACGUGCAGAUCAAUACUAAUGGUUUUUCAUGUUUCACAUUCUCAGGACAUGUUUGUAGCAGGAACUGAUACUACUGCAACAACACUAGAGUGGGCAAUGGCAGAGCUAGUGAAAAAUCCAACUAGUAUGAAAAGAGCUCGAGAAGAGGUUAGAAGUGUGGCAAAAGGGAAAUUAAAUAUAGACAUGAAAGACAUUGAGAAGAUGGACUAUUUGAAAUGUGUGGUCAAAGAAACUCUGAGGUUACAUCCACCAGUUCCUCUCUUGAUUCCGCGAGAAAUAGCACAGAGGGUCAAAUGGAGAGGCUAUGAUAUUCCUGCAAAAACUAGAGUGAUUGUAAAUGCAUGGGCAAUUCAAAUAGAUCCCCAAGUUUGGGACAGGUCAGAAGAUUUCUUGCCAGACAGGUUUUUCUCUAACCCGGUGGAUUGUAAAGGCCAAGACUUCCAAUUUAUCCCCUUUGGUGCUGGAAGAAGAGGAUGUCCCGGGAUAUCAUUUGCGUUCGCCACAAUUGAGUAUGUGAUUGCCAACCUUCUGUACUGGUUUGAUUUGAAUUUGCCUCUUGGUGAAGUUGAGGAGAAUUUGGACAUGUUUGAAGUUAAUGGGCUAGUGGUUCAUAAGAAAUUACCUCUUCAUCUUGUGCCAACACUCUACUCCCCUUACUCUUAAUCUUGAUAUGUGGAGAAAAAUAUUCAUGAUAGUUAUGUUCUAAUCAUGAUUAUCCUCUUUUAAUUUCCCUCGUGAAAAAUUGUACCAGCGUUGUCUAUUUUCUUCUAUGUUUAUGGCUACCUCAAUGAGCAAGUUAUUAUCAAUUUUAUCACCUGUCUAUAUCAUAUUGGUCCUCUGUUUGAUCUUUCUAUAUAUUCCAUCAAUCGGUUGAGAUUUAGGGAAGUACAAAAAGUUAACAAUUACUAAUGGUGCUAGUAGCCGUGGCUGCAAAAUAUCAUAUCCAUCGAGUUGAUGGGAGAUUAAUUACAACUAAUCCGGAACAAAUAAUUAUGAAGCUGAUAGCAUGAAUAUAUAUAUCAUGAUUUGACAUGUUGACUGCAACGGCGAAUAUACAUAAUAAUAACACCAAUCGUGUUGAUGGGAGAUGUUUUGUUAAAAUUAUUUUUUAAUUCUUAUUUUAUAUUCUUGUGGCUUGAAAGCGACUAUGUCGAUCAUUUAUUUAUUUUCUAGUUCUUAUUUUAUAGACACAUAUUGUUAUUUAAAAAUUCCACAAUUUCGCUCUGAAAAUGAAAGAGAGCAAAAUUUAGUUUAUAGAGUAACACCCAGGUCUAUAACAAUAAACCCAUAAGAAGGAAGCUAAGCAUGCAAGACCAAACUCAAAUGAGUAGGCCUCAUCUAAGAUCCUUGUAAGUGGGUUAUCUUACAUAGAUGAGUCAUGUUAGGAAAUUAAUGGGUGAAAUAAGACCAUAAUUAAAAUGAAAUUAAAAAAAUUUAAUUAAAAAAAAAAGUUGAAAAGUUAAAUUGGAUCACAUUAUUUGAAUUCAAAUUAGAGGCGGUGGAGAACUUUGACAAGCAAUUGGAAGUGGCUAAAACAUAGCUCAUCUUAAUAUUUUGGCUCACUACCCAUAAUGAAUUGGGUAGAUCAGUAAUUUUCAACAUACCUCUUAUUCUUUCUGUAAGAGUCAUAUUCAUUCACUCAGACAUUUCAUUUUGUUGAGGAAUGUAUGUUACCAUGAACAGCCUCUGAAUACCUUCUUCCUUACAGAAAGCAAGAAACUCGUCGUCUAUAUACUCUUCACCGUCCCGUUUUCAAACACUUGAUUCUUUUUUCAGAUUCAAGCUCAACCCGCACUUUGUAUUUCUUGAACACUAGAAACACAUCUGACUUUUUCUUGGUUGGAUACACCCAACAUCUCCUUGAAUAAUCAUCAAUGAAAGUCACGAUGUAUUUUGCACCUCCCAUGGAUAUGUCUGGUGAUUCCCAAACAUCAAAGCGAAUUAAGUCUAGAAUGUAUUUACUUCUAACAACAGAUCUACUGAACUUUAAUCUAUGCUGUUUACUUGUAACACAAUGCACGCAAAAUUAUAAGUUACCGAUUUGAGUCUUGGAAGCAAUUUUCACUCAGAGAGAAUUUUCAAUCUUUGCUCCGAGAUGUGGCCAAGUUUGAGAUGCCACAUCAUCGUUGACUCUUCUCUGUUUGAUGCAACACACGCAUUAGCUUCCUGUAGUGUUUGUCCUUUAAGCAUGAAUAGAUUAGCACCGAUCUUUUCUGUCUUCAUCAAUACAAGCGCGCCUUUUAACAAUUUUCAUAAUUCCAUUUUCAACAUAAGUUUUGCACAUAUGACUAUCUAUUUGUCCCAAAAAUAAUAGAUUUUUCUUCAGGCCUUUCACAUGUCGUACCUCCUCAAUUGUGUGAAUUAUAUCAUCAAAUAUUUUUAUUUUGAUUGUACUAAUACUAGUGAUCUCCAAUGCAUGAUCAUCACUCAUAUAUACAUAUCCUCCUGAGAUCCUCAAUUGCGCGAAUUGUACCAUUAAACAUUUUUAUUUUGACUGUACCAAUACUAGCGAUCUCCAAGGUAUGAUCAUCACUCAUAUAUACAGAUCCUCCUGAGAUACGUUCAUAUGUGUGAAACCAUUCUCUCCAAGAGGUCAUGUGCCAGGUAACUCCUUAGUCUAUAAACCAGACGUCAUAUAGUCGUUUUUUGCCUUCUGAAACAAUUGUUGCCUCGCUGUAGAGAAUUUCACCAUCAUCUGACUUGCUACACACCCAUGAGCAUUUGAUGACUCAUGUUUUUUGCUCUCUCUUCUUUUCUGGUUGUUCCAACACUCUUUCUUAACGAUACCACUGGUAAGAAAUUGAGUUUCCUCCCAAUAUCACUCCAAGGAAUUUGUCAAGCAACAAAUUAACAAGAAAACUUAAAUGAAGAAUACAUCAAUCACACAACACAAGAUUUACGCGGAAAACUCCAAAUCUGGAGAAAAAACACAGCCGUUGUCAAGAGACAACCAGAGAAAAAAUAUUUAUUAUAUGAAAAAUUAUUACAACUACACUCUCAUAAAUAAUUUUCUCUUACCUAAGCCUCAAAUAUAUAAUCCCGAGAAAUAUUCUUUAACAAAGUAAACACAUAAUACCCAUAUUGACGAGCCAAAUGCUCAUUCAAUCUAACUAUAUACUUAAGAAUAUUUCUCUCUCUCAAUUUCUCACCAAAACUUAGAUCGCUUCUCUAGGAUUUGGGAUACCAAGCUCUCAAAUGAGAACUUCCUUUUAUAGACAAAAUUUUGCCUAAAAUCAAGCCAAUUUUUCAACAUCUAAUAGCCACCAUUUCAAUAGUUUUGACCACUUCCAAUUGCUUGACAAAGUUCUUGGCCACCUCCAAUUUAAAUUCAAAUGAUGUGUUCCAAUUUGACUUUUCAACUCUUUUUUUUUUUAAUCAAUUUUCAAUAAUCUAAGAGUCUUGUAAGAAUAAGCAGAGAGCUUGAGUGAUUUUCAAAACUUAAAAUUAUAAAGCUCUUGUGAGUCCAGUGAGUGAGAGAUUCGGUGAAUUAGGAUUUUGAGUAGUGAGCCAAAAUAUUACAAUACUUGUAAUCUUCAUAUCUAUAGUAAAAUAAUUUCCUUCUGUCUUCGCCCAUAGACAUAAGGCUAAAAAUCGAACCACGUAAUUUUCUAGUGUCCUCUUUUUGUUUGUUCUUUAUUUUUCUUCUAAUUUCAUUUUAGUUGUAGUCUUGCUUCACCCAUCAAUUUCCUAACAUUGGUAUCAGAGCUACAUGGUAUUUUUUGGAGUCGAUGGUACUGUUCACGCAAAAAUAUUAUUCACAUAUACGGUACUAUUUACGUAUACGGUUACUGUUCACGUGAAAUGGCGGGAGCCGAUCCUAGCAAAGUUAGUUUGUGGUGAAAAGCGAUGGCAACGAAAUACGAAAUUAAGAAAUUCAAUAGAAAUAAUUUUUCAUUGUGAAAAAUGAAGAUAAAAGUUGUAUUGCGGAAAAAUAAUUGUUUGGUAGUAAUUGGAGAAAGGUCCAUGGAAAUAACUGAUGACAAGUGGAACGAUAUAAGCGGAAAUGUCAUUGUUGAUCUACAGUAGGCACUUGCAGAUGGGAUAUUACCCAGUGUGGAGGAGAAAAAGACAACAAAAGAAAUAUGAGAUAUUAUCACAAAAUUGUACGAGGCCAAGUCUUCUUAAAUAUGAGACUUUAUACUAUUCGAAUUACGAAAUCUACAUUAGUGACCCACCAUAUCAACACCUUGAAAAUUUUAUUUUCACAACUCACAACGUUGGGUCAUAAUAUAGAGAAAAAUGAACGUGCGGAGCUUCUACUUCAAAAUUUACCAGAUUCGUAUGAUCAACUCAUCAUCAACCUGACGAAUAACAAUUCAAUAGACAGUCUAAUUUUUGACGAUGUUGCAGCCUCCGUAUUAAAUGAAGAGAGCAGUCGCAACAAGUAAAAGCGCUAUUAGUAAUGAGAGGCAAAUCAACAUAACAUGGCCCUAAUGGGAGUCACAAUCAUGGUAGAUCAAAGUCUAAAAGUAAAAAGAAUAUUAAAUGCUACAACUAUGGUAAGAAAUGACAUGUCAAGAAAGAGUAUUAGAACAACCAUAAGAGAAGAGAAUGUAAAGAUCAUGUGUCAUCAAAUGCUCAAGGUGUGUAGCAGGUACCUCGGAUGUUAGCGAAAUUCUCUAUAGCGAGGCAACAACUGUUUCAAAAGGCAGAAAACGGCUAUCUGACGUCUGGUUCAUAAACUCAAGAGCUAUCUAACACAUGACCUUUCGGAAAAAAUAAUUGAACCUAUCUAAGGAGAAUCUGUAUAUAUGGACGAUGAUCAUGUCUUAGAGAUUACUAGUAUUGGUAGAAUCAAAAUAAAAAUAUUUAAUGUUACAGGUCGCACAAUUGAAGAGCUACGACAUGUCAAAGGCUUGAGGAAGAAUCUAUUAUCUUAGAGACAAAUGGAUAGUCAUAAAUACAAAACUUAUGUGGAGAAUGAAAUUAUGAAAAUUGUUAAAGGCGCGCUUGUAUUGAUGAAGACAGAAAAGAUCGGUGUUAAUCUAUUCGUGCUUAAAGGACAAACACUACAGGAAGCUAAUGCGUGUGGUGCAUCAACCAGAGAAGAGUCAACGAUGAUGUGACAUCUCAAACUUGGCCACAUCUCGGAGCAAAGUUUGAAAAUUCUCUCUGAGCGAAAAUUGCUUCCAUGGCUCAUAUCGGUAACUUACCAUUUUGCGAGCAUUGUGUUACAAGUAAGCAGCAUAGAUUAAAGUUCAAUAGAUCUAUUGCUAGAAGUAAAUACAUUCUAGACUUAGUUCACUCUGAUGUUUGGGAAUCACCAUACAUAUCCAUGGGAGGUGCAAAAUACAUAGUAACUUUCAUUUAUGAUUAUUCGAGGAGAUGUUGGGUGUAUCCAAUCCAAAAAACGUUAGAUGUGUUUCUAGUGUUCAAAGAAUACAAAGCGCAAGUUGAACUUGAAUAAAAAAAAAGAUCAAGUCCUUGAGGACGGAUAAUGAUAGAGAGUAUACAGACGACGAGUUUCUUACUUUCUGUAAGCAAAAAUGUAUUUAGAGACAAUUCACGGUAGGAUACACUCUUCAACAAAAUAAAGUGACAGAGUAGAUGAACAAGACCCUUACAGAAAUGAUAAGAGUUAUGUUAAAAAUUGUUGAUCUACCCAAUUUAUUCUGGGUAAAAGCAGCCAAAACUAUCUAUUAUGUAAUAAAUCGGUUGCCAUCCAUAGCAAUUUGGGUUGAAGACUCUGAUGGAGAUGGGGACUGAAACGCCAAUAGAAUACUCUCGCCUACAUGCAGUCAGAUUUCCUGUGUACGUAAUGUACAAUUCCCAAGAAAAAGAGCAAAGCUGGAUUUAAAAUUUAGAAAAUGUAUCUUUUUUAGAUAUAUUGAUAGAGUAAAAGGAUAUCGUUUAUGGGAUCCCGCUGCCCACCAGAUUGUCAUCAGCAGAAAUGUUAUCUUUGUAAAAGAUCAACUGCAAAGAAGAGAUGAGGAUGAUAGCACUGUAAAAGAAAAGUAAGAGACUGUACCAGUAUAUGUGAAAAAUAAUUUGGAAAAAGAAAAUUCAGAUUUUUCUAAAGCAAUACCAAAACACGAGGAACAAAAACCAAUCGAGUCCGAGACUCUAGAAGUUUGUUGAUCAACUCGUGAGAGACGACCGCCAGCGUGGCACUCAGAGUAUGUCACACAAAUCAAAGAGUAUGUCACAGAAAUCAAUGUUGCAUACUGUCUUCUAACAGAUGAUGGAGAGCCAUCAACUUUUCAUGGAACUUUAAAUAGCUCAAAUAUUACGUUGUGGAUGAUAGCUAUGCAGGAAGAAAUUGAAACUCUACACAAGAAUAAGACUUGGAAACUUGUACCACUACCAUAUAGAAGAAAAAUUGUUAGAAACAAAUGAGUUUACAAGAUCAAACGUGAUAGUAAUAAUCAAGUGGAACGGUAUCGUGCAAGAUUGGUGGUGAAAACAUAUACUUAGAAAAAAGGUAUUGACUUCAAUGAGAUAUUUUCUCUGGUGGUUCGACUCACAACAGGCAGAGUAGUCUUAGCAAUGUGUGCUACAUUUGACCUACAUCUAGAGCAAUUAGAUAUGAAAACUACAUUUCUUUAUGGAGAUUUUGAAGAAGAAAUUUAUAUGUUCCAACCAGAAGGUUUUACUGAAAUAAGAAAAGAGAACUUAGUUUACAAAUUGAACAAAUCUCUAUAUAGUCUCAAACAAGCGUCACAUUGUUAGUAUAAGAGGUUUGAUUCUUUUAUCAUGAGCAUUGGAUACAACUGACUCAGUUCAGACCAUUGUGCAUAUUACAAGAUGUUUGAAAAUGAUGAUUUCAUCAUUUUACUGUUGUACAUACUACCAACAAAAAUUGAAUUCAAGAACUAGAGGCACAAUUGACUAGGGAGUUUAAAAUGAAUGACUUAGGACCAUCAAACAAGAUUUUAGGGAUGUAAAUUCAUCGAAACGGAAAUAAUAUGAAGAUUUGGCUUUCUCAGAAUAACUAUUUCAAGAAAAUCUUGCGACGCUUCAAUAUGCAAGAUUGUAAACCAAUUUCUACCUCACUUCCUGUUAAUUUCAAGUUAUCCUUAAAUAUGUAUCCUAGCAAUGAAGCAGAGAAGAAGAAGAUGUCUCGAGCAUCGUAUGCAUCAGCAGUGGGAAGUUUAAUGUUCGCUAUGAUUUGUACAAAACCAGACACUGCAUAAACAGUGGAAGCAGUCAGUCGAUACAUGGCGAAUCCUGCUGGAAAACAUUGAAAAACUGUGAAGACGAUUCUGAGAUACAUCAAAGGAACCUCUGAUGUUACAUUAUGUUAUAAAGGAUUAGAAUUUACUGUUGGGGACAACGCAGAUUCAGAUUUUGCAAGAGACCUUGAUAAGAGAAAAUCUACUACUGACUAUGUGUUUACACUUGUAGGAAGAGCUAUAAGCUGGGUUUCAAAACUACAGACCGUUGUGGCUUUAUUUACAACAGAAGCAGAAUACACACAGCUACCUAAGCUUGGAAGGACUAUUUGGAUAAAAAGGUUAUGGGUAGAGCUCAAGCACAAACAAGAGAAAAUUCAUGUGUUUUUGUGACAAUCAGUGCUUUGCACAUUGCAAGAAAUUCAGUCUUUCAUUCCAAAACAAAUCACAUAGCGGUUCAGUACCACUUCGUUCGAGAAAUAGUGAAGACAGAAGUGUAGAUUUGCAAAAAAUUCAUAUCAAAGUGAGCCUAGCAGAUGUUUUAACGAAGCCGAUCAAUGCUGACAAGUUUAUCUAGAGUAAAUUCUCUUGUAACCUAGCAGAAAUGUAAGCAACAUAACUAUGGCAAAGCAGAAAGGAUGGUGUGGAGAUUGAUUGAUUCUCAAUCUAAUCUCUAAGUGGGAGAAUGUCAAAAUAUUUGGCUGCAGUAUCUAAAAGUUACAUCUAGAAGCUACAUCUAGAAGCUACAUCUAGAUGCAUUGAAGCAACAAAUGUUGAAGGGUUAGGUUCUGCCAAGGAAGAAGAAAAAAUAAGAGUUGAAGCUGCCAAAUUUGAACAAAGACAAAAAAAGAAAGAAGAAUAAAUGAAAUUUGGUAGUAGCGUUUUUUUUAAGAAAGAAAGAGGAGUUAAGAAAAAUCAAAGGCGGUUUUAAAAAAAUACAAUAUUUUAAUAGCCAAUUUUUGGCUAUAAAAAAAGAGCUCUCCAUUUCGUUUUUUGGCAUUCAAUUUGUGAGAGAGAAAGCAGAGAGUUUGAGUGAUAGUGAGUGAGAGAUUGGGUAAAUUGGGGUUUUGGAUAGUAAACUAAAAUAUUAUAAUAUUUGUAAUCCUCAUAUCACUAGUAAAAUAUUUUUUUUCUGUCUUUACCCGUGGAUGUAAGGUUAAAAUCCGAACCACGUAAUUUUCUGAUGUCCUCUUUCUACUUGUUCUUUAUUUUUCUUCUAAUUUUUCUUUUUUCUUCUUCAAAAAAACGCUGCUGCCAAAUUCCAUUUUUCCUUCUUCUUUCUUUUUAUCUUUUUUAUCUUUGUUCAAAUUUGGCAACUUCAACUCUUCAUUUUUCUUCUUCCUUGGCGACACCUAACCCUUCAAUAUUUGUUACUUCAAUACUUCUAAAUGUAACUUCUAGAUGCUGCAGCUAAAUAUUUUGACAAGUCCAAGUACUAGGUAUUUAACUUUUUUUUUGCCCCCUCAAUUAACUGCUGAUCACUCACCUAAAUUUUUGCUCAGUAAUUUACAAAAGGUAAUGCUUGUCUAGAAAAUAUUUUAAAAUAGAAGUCCUGUGUGUAGAAUAUUUCAAAAUGUUGCAAGUUUCCUAAAACACAAGUACAUCAACAUAUUAUUCUAUCAUAAGAGUUUUUAUGCACCCAUUAAACCAAUUAACACUAAAAAAUUAAUUGCUUUACAUGUGAACUAGAUUAAUUUGAACUUCAGAUCUCUUCUUCCAUAAGAGAUUUUAUCCAUUGGAACCACCAAUCCAAACACCCCACAAAUUAAUUAAAGAUAAAAUGAGAUAGCCCACAAGCUGCAGCAACAAAUUACCUAGAUGUUUACUGAACAAAUGGAAUUCUACAAAGUGUUAAUUUCUAUUAUAAAAAUGGCAUUAAAUUAAACCAUAUAUCCCCUGUUUCCCAAAUGUCACUCUUUGCCUUACGUGUUGAAAUAAAUUUCUCAAGAAACACCUGAUAAAUUUCUUACCUGCAGAUUGACUCCAUGUAGUGGCACAAUAAUGAACCUAUAAGCAUAUGAGUGAACAUACUCUGGAGAAAGUGAGACAUUAAUGUUGUGGUUAUGAAUUGAUAAUCAAAAUGAGCUGAAAUCGCAAUGAUAAUUGAAAUAAAAAAGGAGAAUAGAAAUCAUAAUAGAUUGCUAUAAGUUAUUAAAAUGAGAUUAAUUAAUUAGUGUCGCCGUCGUCGUUGUCAUCAUCAUCAUUGUUACUAUUAAUUAAUUAAUUAAUUAAUUAAUUAAUUAAUUAAUUAAUAAUAUCAUCGUCGUCAUUAUUAUUACCAUCAUUAAUUUUAUUAUCAUUAAUUAAUAAUAUUAUUAUUAAAAUUAUUACUAUUAGUUAUUAGUUUUAUUACCAUUAGUCAAUACUCAAUAGUACAAGUGUUAUUAUUAUUAUUAUUAACAACAAUUACAAAAAUUAGAAAAAUAACAAUAACAAUAAUGUAACAUAAUAAAAUUAAUUGAGGAUAAAAGUAGAAUUAUGAAAUUUGGAUGAGGGUAAAAUGGGAAGGAGCUCAGGGAAUGGGAACUUGAUUCUCAUCCCCUCCCCCCACAUGGGAAUCAAGUUCCCAUUCCUUAAUCCAAAAAACAUGUGGGCCUUACAUAUUUCAUUCUUAUUCCCACUUCUAUUUUAGUAAGUAAAUAUUAUCAAUCAUUUCCAUUCCAGAUUCUGAUUUCCUAAUCAAAGAAAUAAAUGCACCACAAGAGAAAUUAGACAACAUGAGAGCAAGUGGUAUCUUAAGCUCAAUCAUGGCCAAAUUUUGUCCCAGACAUGCUCGAGGACCAAAUCCAACUAGCAUGUCUUAUAGUUUAAUUCUAAAUGGUAUGAAUACCCGAGUAGGUGGACUAUAGUGAUUCUCUAUGUUGAGAAUCAUGGCUCUGUAAAGGAUAAGGCGAACUGAUUUAUUGUCAAGGUGGAGUUACUACUAUUCAAAUCAAAGUGGAGACUUUUUGAAUAAAAGUAACUUGAAUAGUUUAAUAUUCAUUUGUAGUAAAAGUUGAGAAAAGGAACUAACAAAUAUGCAUGCAUUCCUUGGAAGUUUUAGUUUAUUUUGAAGUUUGCAUGGGCAUUAGAUAUUGGCAUGAAUUUUUUUGACUUUUAUGGCAUGUGAAUAAACGCUUGAAUGCCAAGAACUCUUUACAUGCAUUAACUUUCAUGCAUUCAUUCACAUACUACAAAAGUAAAAAAAUUCAUGCUAACAUUUAGUGCCCAUGCAAACUUCCAAAGAAACUAAAACUUUCAGUAGAAUGUAUGCAAAUUUGUUAGUUCCUUUCAGCUUUUUUUUAACAUUUAGUGCAAAUGAAUAUUAAAUCAUUCAAGUCACUUUAAUUCAGCAGCACGUACAAAUGUGGGCGCUUGCAAGCAACUGUUAUUCCUAAUUUCUCUACAGUAGCUACCAACAAUUUUUUAAUUUCCUUGAGCAUAAAAAAUAAUAUUAACAGGAAUAUCUACUAAAAAAUGAAAAAUCAGAUUGGAAGCUUACCAAGAUGACCCUACUUUGCUGCCGCAUGAAAUGAAUCAUAUCCAUUCUUGGCUGCAAUAGACGUAGUUUCAAGGUUCAUAUGUCGAAGCAUCUCUUCAACCAUCAAAGCAUGCCACUCUCUGCAGCCGCAUAAAGGGGAGUCUCACCUUCUUGAUUUUGUUUCAACAACAACUCCUUAGCUUCACUAGAAUCACAACCCUGAAAAAUCUCUGUAACUCUACUUAAAUUCCCAGUUCGAGCUGGCAAGUGUAGCUGCAAGUGACUUCUUUUUCCUGGCAAAUCCUUAUUCUUCUUCCUCUGACCACCACCUAUAAAACUCAGCUGUCUCUCCGUCACUAUGCGAAAACUCUUUAAAACUCCUGUUUUUCCAUCACAAGUACUCAGCUGUUUAUCAAUAGUCACACCAUGAAAACUCUGCUGUUUCUCUAUCACUCCACGAGCACUAGGCAGUUUAUUAGUGCUCACACCAUGAAAACUCUGUUGUUCUUCCAUAACCCUUUGAAUACUAGGCUGUUUUUCAAAGGUGACACUGCAAAUACUUUGCUGUUUCUCCAUUGUCCAUGUCCUAAAACUGCUUUGUUUCUCCAUUAUCAUGGACAGAACUAGACUUAAUACCCAAAACUGGCUACAAAUAUCACUUACACUCAGCAUGCAAAUCCAUGAUUUAUAAAAAAUUGAAACUCAAACCUUGAAUUUCAAAAACCCAGAAAUCAUUUCUUUUCCUCCACAAUCAUCCAUAAAGCUUCACACAGAUUGAUAUCAAAAUCAAAUAAUUAACUUUCUUGCGAUCACAACUAUGAUUCCCCGUAAUUACAAUUUCAAGUCUCUCAUUCAAGAACCAAAUUUUACCCAUUUCAGCAAAGAUCAGAACUGUUGCUCUACACAUACAAUCAGCAAACAUACCAAAAACCUACACAUAUAGCAAUAUAUAUCAACAACGAACCAGGCUCAAAAUCAAACCCAAAAAAAAAAAAAAAACUUGGAAUUGGAUACCUUGCUUUUUGAGCUAAAACGCAAGUCUUUGUGGUUACCGGGAAAAAAAAUUAAAAAUUGAAAGUAAACGAACCCAAAUCAGCAAUCCACUAAAUUGAAGAACCCAGAAACAGAUUUGUAAAUUUCGAAAGAUCAUAACCUCAAUCAAAGCCUUAGUUCUUUUGGCCGCUGGGGCGUACCUUAGAGUGAAGACAACUGACAUAUAACAAGCACUUCACAAUUUAAACCGCUACCAGACUACCAGGUCCCUGUGACGUUAUUUUAUUUUAUAAUUUUUUCAACAAUUAAGAUGCUUUAUUUUUUUAAUUUUAUUUAUUUUUAUAUUCAUUUUGGGCCACUAAGUAAGUUGCUCUAUCUGAAACUUGGUGUGAAAAUAGAACGGUCCUGUCUUUUAUUAUUUUAUUUAUUUUGUCCGGUAAAUUUUGGGCCACG